GGGGGGGGGGUGCGGGGGGUUGCAGAGAUGGGUUUUGAAGAAUUGGAAUUACCUCGUGGUUAAAGAAUCCUGGGUAGCAUUCGUAAAGCCAUCAAAUGCUAAGUUUAAAAAGCAGAGCCCAUAACCAAGAGGAGCAUUUGGAUGAGCAAGCCUGCUUAUGGUCUUUGAGCUGGUCUGCAAUGGAUCAAAGCAAUGCAUUGGUCAGAGACAUGCUUGCAUUAGUGCCUUAAAUUCUAUAAACCAAACUCAGAUAAGUCCAUAAGCUGAAAGUUUAAGCAGCAUGUUUUGCAACACAUAACAGAGUUUUUUUUUCCCUAGCAUUGUAGUGUCGGUUGGCAUAGUUUAGCAAAGAAUCCACACACAAGCAUUUCCCAAUAUCGGUUAACAAUGAAGAAAAGCUACGACAAGCCACAGGUGAAAGCGGCCAUCUCAUUGCAAUUAGUAGUCGCAUGGUUGCAGGCUUUCCACAUUUGGGAAUGAAACAUCAUCAGAGAGGCAGGUGGUACCACCAGGUAAUAUGACAUUCCUUCCUACGUGCGGAAAUUGGUAGAGCAAUGGCAUGAUGUAGAGAUAUAUGUGCAAUGGCAUUGUGAUAUAUGCGCUGUGCUUAUAAUUUUCAUCAUAAUAUAUAGAGUAGAACUUCUACCUUUGAAAGUGCAAAUGCUGACACCCCUCCAGCAACAAGGAAGGUGCAUAUGUAAUCAGGAAUUGUGUAUUUGAUACCAUAAACAAGAGUCCCCAUCACCAUGACUGCAGUUCAAGAAUGUAAUGGUCAGCCAGGACAAUAUCACUGUUGUGUGCUGUUUAAUUCAGUGAAAUUAACCAUUCAGAUUGCAUAACAAUUCUUCCAAUUUUGUGCAACUGUCAGUAAAAGGACAAUCAGCGACAGCUACAAACAUUCAUAAAUCCAAUUUAAACAUUCUAAAACAUCCAGCCAUUAUAUGCUUUGACUCCUACAACAGAAGGCGUUUUCGAUAACAUAAUUAAGGGCUCUCUUCAAUAUAUCUGCUUGGUUAGUCAAAAGUCAGUCCGCAUUGCUUGAAAAAUCGAGGCAAAAAUCAAAAAAUAUCUGCAUUCUCGUGCAACAGAAUAGAUUGGCAACCAGUUGCUGCAUUGUACGUGACAACAAAAAGACAUAAUUUUCCACUAAAGGCCUUCAGUAAUUCAUUUUAUACAUUAUUUUUCUUGAUUAGUAAUUUCAUUUUUAAUUCAAUCUGUGAUUUCUUCAAAGAUCUAAAUCGAGAGUAGACAAUAUAUUUCUCUAAAUGUUGUUAUCUCUACCACCAGGUCAGAACUAAAUUUAUUCCAACCUGCUUGUCAUGAACUUCAAAAAUGACGAUCAGGGAACUUCUUGGCUGAUGGUAGAACAUGGUCCAGAUAGUUGAAGUUUGCUACUAAUUCCAGUAUUAUACUAAACUGAACUGUGCCUAAAUGAAAGUUUUAAAAAUCGGAUUCCUUUCUCAAUUGAGAUUCGAGAAGAAAAAUUGAUCAUCACAGAAGUAUAUUGAACUUCUAAACUAGUCAGAAUUCUAGUCUUACGGUCAAAUUUGGUGGCAAAGAAAGAAUCUAGCACGGAUAGCUUUUUGAUGGAAUCUAGCACUUGUAGUUUAACAGAUCUUUUCAACUCAGCUAAGCACUUAGUUGCGGUCGGUACAUGAAUCCUUUUCCUCUAUACCGCUGGUUUAGGGCCAUAGUUUCUGAAAGACGUUAAAAUAUCAAGAUCUUUUGCUCAGCUGAAUAACCAAAAAAAAAAGCACUGAGGAACUUUGUGGGGGUCCGCAGCAGAAUCUGAAAAAACAAGCAGAUUCCUGAUGUAGAACAAAUGAAAUGGAAGCUGCUCGAUAGUAGAUAGGUGCAAAUCCAGACUAAUGGGUCCAAUCACCCCCUUUUAACUAGUGUAUCUGUAACAAUAUCAUUAAUCUUGAUAAGAAAUAAAUCAUUAAGACAAGAGCACAGCCUACAGUGUUAGAAAGUUCUUGAUAUGCUAAAGCUUGGGUCAUCAGGUAAGAUAUCCAAAUGGCUGGAUAGUUGCCUUGCCUCUUGUGCAUAUAUUUAGUGGCCUCAGUGACCUGUAAGGGUCAUCCUUUACUACUGUUUAUAAGACAAAGACAGGUCAUUGAACAAACACACACUCAUAUGCAUAGAGAAAUUAACGUAGCAGGUAUAAGCUUCUGAAGUAGUCAGAUCUACUAAAGGUGAAUUUUGCUUGGAGUAAUUCCUCUAGACUUAGGUCUUUCACUGACUCAAGAUGCUUCCUCGAUGCAUAUUGGCUAUUUCUUCUCAAUAGACAGAAUAAGAAGUCAUGUUUUUUGUACUUGAGCUUCAAGCCCUUUGCAGAGUAGGGGAUAAAAGAAAACAAGGAAGAUGGUUUUGGUCAAAGUUGGAGAUAGAUUCACCUUUUACCAUGACAUCCUUGCGUCAAAAACUUGCUGAGAUACGUGUGUGGGCGAGAGAGAGAGAGAGAGAGAGAGAGAGAGAGAGNNNNNNNNNNNNNNNNNNNNAGAGAGAGAGAGAGAGAGAGAGAGAGAGAGAGGAGAAUUUUCUCCCCUUUUUUUCGGAGAACUAGGAUGGGAAGAAGAAUUUGGUCCCAAUUUCAUACCUUGAAUCCUUUAGAAAAUCUAAAUAUGCCAUGCAGUUAUAUAUGUGCAUGUGCAUGCAUGUUCUCAUGAAAAUUACAGUUAGCUAAAUGCAUAAACACCAUUGCGAUGUACUGAAAACCAAAGCAAUCUCUCCCAAAUUAGUGAAAUGAACAAAUCUUAAAGCAAGUGCCUGGAUGAAGCAAAAAUGUUGCCAUCCUGAUUCACCUCUUUCAUUUUUUAAUUAAAUAUGCCAUCUAAGAAAUCAAAUGGAAGGGAAAAAACUAGUAUGACAUAUUGAACCAUCUAUCUUCCCCACUGCUUUAGUUUCUUUCCUUAAGAAGCCCUACAUCUAAAAUUCUAUCAAAAUCAAUAUGUGAAUUAAAACUUCUAUAUAGGUCAAAUUGCACAUUUCUACAACAAUGCAGAAUGCAAAAGGGAAAUGUCUUCAUUAGUUAUUAAGCGUGCAUGCGGACAGCAAUCACUGCUCAUUACACACAUUAACUUUUUCAUGUAAUUCAAUGUUUAACACUUUAGUCACAUUUCCCUGUCAAUGCCAUUAUUUCCUGGUUUCUCUGUCAUUGGGCAAAUAUUUAGUGUAACCAUGCAUGGUAAGUAGUCUUAUCCCUUCACGUAUACAAAUACAAGAGAACUGCAUGCCAGAUUCAAUGUGCUACAUCUGGUAGAAGAAUGAUUCUUUUCCACACUCUGCGCAUGCACAAAUUGCACAUUCAUAUAGAAAAGCAUAAGAGCUAACUCACCAGGAAUCAUUUUUGAGGAUUUUGCGAGAACCUGUUUACACAUAAAGUAAACAGCAUUAGCACCACCCUUCCUUUUUCAUUUUGCUCAUAGGCAUCAGCCCGCCAAAUCCACAAGCAAAUUAACGGAGAAAAUGGUUUUCUUAUGCUGAAGAAAACUUAAACAUACCUGCGCUGGGUAGCUAAUGUACUUCAAUGCUUCGAUUCCCAUCGCAGGACCAAUGGUGUUGGUGAUACUCGCACUCCAAUAGCUCCACCAUGGAGCUGCCCCUGCCGAGCUUCUCGAGCAUAGCUUUAUCACUGGACCAUUGAACAAGAAUAGAAGAUAAUCAACGAAUAAAUCAUUCAACAUAUCGCCAAAUUAUACAAUCAUUCAGCCUCCCUCAAAAAAUCGCUUACUUAUGAAUGACCAGAUGAAACAAACAACAUUCUGGGCGAGAUUCAGGAAGGAGAGGUACUCGAACCGCUUCCCGUCCGGUCCAAAUCGCUUGGUGGAUCUGAUCGCAAGGACUACACCCCAUUAGAAACCCUAGUUGGACUGUCGAAUCCAAGUUUUUUUUUUUUUUGCAAUUAAGAGGAAUUCGAAAGAAAAUUAAGCAAAACAAUCAGCAAAAGAAAAUCCGAAGGAAAACUUACACGGUUUCCUGUAGGACGCCUUGGGUUAUGUACGCGGACCAGAUACCGGCGACGCAGAAGGCCAGAACCAAGACCCGCCCAAGUCCACCGGCGCCGCGACCCCCGUGGAUUUCCAUUUUCCGGUAUAUGGCCGCGUCACGGAGUGAUUUCCCCGGCGGAUCCGAGGAAUGGGGCAGGAGAGGAGGGGAGGAGGGGGGAAUCAAGCUCGAGAGAGAGGAACACCCAAGGAGGGGGAGGAAGAUGGCGUUGGAGGCUACGUUUACACGGAAGGCGGAGACCCGGAACAACGUCAGAUUUUCCACGUGGCACUAGUUUAUUAGCGGACUGGCGGAACUCGAGUCCUCAUUGGUUCUCUCAACGUGGAAACUGGUGGGCCUGGGAACUUCGAGCGGACUCGCCAGCGUGCUGCGAGGGACGCAGGCACUUCUGCGUUCAAUUUCUCCGAUAGGGGGACGCGGUGGAUCAUACAUACAAACGGGUCGGGUACGGAUCCGAUAAGCUCGGGUCCAAUUAACUUCUUUUGCGGUUUUGCUCUAUCCCAAGUAGGGCGGCCAGGGAUAAGAUCGGGUUGAAGUUCUGGUCUAAUGAAAUAAGGAUAACAAUAUAUAAAAUCUUGGCUUAUAAGUUAUACCGGAUUUGACAUAAUGACGAGUAGCCCAUUUCUAUCCAUGGUUAUUUUAGAUCAUCCAUUUGAUCCUUACUUAAUUUAUUUUAUAAGUCUCACUCUCUAAUAAAACUAAGCCAACUUAUCAAUUCAAUAUUUACAUUUCUUAUCAGCUAAUAUUUAAAAUAAUUUAACCACUGGUAUUAAGAAAAAUAAUCAACCCCUCGAAAAAAUAUUAUCCAACUCAACACAAGCUAAAAUAUUUCAAUCCAAAUAAAACUCUAAGCUCGUGACCUUUGUCGAGUUAAAGCUUUGAUCCAUGUCCAACUCAAUUAAAUUUUGGGUUAGGAAAUCAUAUUCGAUCAACAAAAAAAGAAAUCUUCAUCAAAACUCAACCCAAAUAGGGUUGAUAGGGUUUGGUCGGCUUUUGCCACCUCCUCUUAAGCUUGAAGGAGAGAGAAGCCGGGAGAGGAAGGGAUACGAGACUAUGGGAGCGGAGAGGAGGGCAGCAAUGAGCAAGAAAAGAAUUGAGAAUUGUAGCAAGGGUGGAGUUCCUCGCCGGGACCACAACCUGGCAUUGUUGAGAUAUAUAUACUAAUAAUUGUACAACAUAUGCAGUUAUUAGAAAAGAAGUAGAAAAUAUAUGUCGAAUUUCCAGAAAAGGCACUUCUUUCAACGAGCUUCAUUUUUUUAUUUUUCCAUAACAUCUUUAAUAUACUAAAUUACUAAGAAGGCUUAAUACUUGCAACAGAUUUGAAGUCACUUUGGAUCGCUGUUCUUCCAUGAUGCAAGUCUUCUAGUUGAAUUCCAUGAUACCUCAACUUUAGCCUUCAAAGAAUUUUGAGCAAAUCUUUGAUGUGAUAUAGCUUUAUUUUAAUGUCUAGCUGAAUAUCAAUGACAGCAACAAAAUUAGUUUGUUUAUCACCAUUUGAAAAAGAAUCAACUAGAUCGACAAUAACACUUUUAACUUUCGGUUCAUCCAUUUACACUAUAAUUCUUGGUUCAUAUGCUCAACCACCACCUAAAGAUUUCAACCUUGAUAAUUCAUAGAUCAAUCUUUGUUUCCCUGUUGCUCCUUAUCCUAUAGCUAACAACAGAGGAAAUGAAUCACUUCAUAUCCGUUCACUGUGACUGCUUGAAUAGAAUAUGAUUCAUAUGCUGUUAUAAAGUCCGGUUGAAAUGUUUUCAGUCAUUUUGCUUCGAAGAAUUUACCUCGAAAGGUACUUGUACAACGUUUCUAUAUCCAUUUCGAAUCUUCUAUUCCCAUCGGAUGUCAGGUCUGUGACGCGGGAUGAUGGGAGGAAUGCCUCCACUAAGAAGCACAUAAAAGAGCAGCUACAAGCAUUAGCAUUAACAAGACUAGAUAACAGACCUGGGAUAGGGUCUAGUAAGUAAGCUUGAUCGGAAGUUUGCAAGCAGCCAACGAAUCUGCUGGUUUGGUGCCCUCGCGAAAAAUAUGAGUGGUUCUCAGAAAGAAGGCCGCACGAAUGGUACUUGAUGUCCUGAAGUAGAGGAUUGAAUUAAGAAGAAUCUUUCAUGAGGAUGGUUGAGCCAAUGUGUAACUUUUGAGGAAUCACCUUCGAUCCAUGUUCUUCGAGCCUUCAGAAUAUAAUAGACUGCAGCACUCUGGAAUUCAGCUAUACAAGAACUAUGGUACCAGCCAACAUAAGCAACUGUACUCCCCACCAAACACUCACUGAUGCUAUCAUCUCAGGCAGUUAAACAAUGCUAUCACAGCAACAUAAUAUUGCUGUGUAAGAUGAUUCCGAGUACCUCUGACUAUAGUACAAACUGAUCAAGUGUUGAAUAUACUCUUUUAUGUAAGUUGUCCAUGUCCCCUGAAAGUCAUAUAUAACAGAGUACUCCAUUAGGAGUUUGGUUGCAGAACCAAUUGCCCAGCUGCCUUUGCCAUGAAAUGUUGUCGCCUGAUUCUUAAAUCUUGGAAACCAUGACCACCCAUAAGACUUUGGUGAACAAAUAGAAUUCCAAGAAACAAGUUGAAGCUUCUUCUCAUCUGAGUCCUGCCCCCCACCAAAAUUGCCUCUCUAAUUUAUCCUUCAAAGAACCACCUUCAACAGCAUCACGUAGAGGCGGAGAUAACAACUGGCAGAGGAUGAACAGAAAAGGGGACAAUGGGUGUUUUUGCCCUAGAAAGUAUGCGUCCAUGUCAUAUAGCCGGAUCUGGGUAUUGAGUUCGAAAAAUGACAGAAUGUUAUCAAAGCGAACUCGGCGAAUAGCCUAUAUGAACUAAAGAACACUGCAAUAUGGAUUUAUGGAGGCUGACCACGGAUCAUUUAUGGUGUUUGUGAUUAGAUUUGAAUAUAUUUUAAUUCUUAGCUUGACAAGGACGUCAGGACUUGAAUGGAGAAAUAUAUGAGGAUCCAUGUAGGCAUAUGUGUAGUCUUAUAUCAGUUAUUUGUCGAGAAAAUUUUGGAUACUUAUACAAAAUUAAUGAACCUAAAAAUUAUCUUUCAACUAGUUAUUUUAAGCGAAAUUUUGAAUUAUUAUAGUGGGAACUGUUGCUAGAUUUUGUAUGCACCAAAACUGCAAACACUCCCCCCACCCCAUCCGCAACCAAAAAAUAAUAAAGAAGGGGAAAAAAUAAAAUUGUUAAUUAACAGAUCGCAUGUGGAUGGCGUGAAGUUUUUAUAGCAGGUUUAUGACCCAGUCACCCGGGCAGCCAAAACGUGAGUCCAUGCACAUUCCGUUGCAGUGACUCACGUUUUUAACCCGUACGGAGAAUCUAGAAUCUAGAAUCUUGAACACGCCCGCCGACUGCAGCUGUUAACGUUCCCUCCCACCUCAGCCUGCCCCCGUUCAUAACGGCGAGCUGUUGCCACCUCGAUGCAAGAUGACAGAAGAACCCACCGUCCAUCUGCCAUCUAAGUAACCCCAACCGUGACACGUGGCACCCCAACUACAAAAUUUGGAAACAUAUCGGUACCGUCAGCUAGCUAGUAUCCCCACCGUCAUUUUGAUGUUACAGCUCAUCAGGUGUUUGUUUGUUCCUACACCGUCUAUCGGAAUUCGGAAAUCGGAAGGGCCACCGGCAAGCGGAGGAUUGAUUGUGGACCAUCUGAUCCGUAGAUCUGAAAUGCCAGGGUCAUUUAGGUAAUCGCGCAACAAGUUUUGAUGGUUGUUAAUAAUCCGUUAUUUUGUUAAAUGACUUGCAGUAAUUGGGCCGUGGCUCAUGCCAUCCUUGGACCGGCAACAACCCCUCGCCCACCGUCGAAACCGGCGACAUCUAUAUAAUGAAAAAAGUUUGCUGUUAUUAACCGCGGAGAAGGAGAGCUAGAAAACACCACCUUCUCUCUUCACCUUUUAAAGAGGAAGAGCCAAAAGAAUACCAGAGCUUUUGCCUUACAAAUCUUCUUCGUCUCCAGACCCUAGAGAGACAAAGGAAACCCGGAGAUCUCUCAGCAAGUCGAUGCAGCUUUUCGAUAUUUCUUUCUUUUGCCAUCGCCGCAUUCGGAUUUCCUACCUCUCCGUCUCUUCAUCUCUGCAUCCUUCGUUGGAGAUCGAACGAGGUAUGAUCUUCGUCGCUUGUAUAUCGUCUAGGGUUUCAUCAACGACGAGAUGCAUUGUGGUUCUUGACGAUCCAUUCAGGAAUUCUUGAAUUGUUCUUGGAUGUAGAUGUUCUUGUUGGGUCAAAUUGAUUUUAUGCAUAUUGUUUUCUUAUUUUGCGGUUUCUUUGAUGAUCUAGAUGGCAUUAAUGGACUCGUUUCUUGAUUCCUGAAUUUAAGGUUCUUUUGCGUUUAUUUUCCUAUUUUAGAACCGGGUCUCGACGCUGAUUAGGGAAGUUAGAGGGAGCGAGGGGAAAAUUCUGAGGAGAAAAUGGCUAACCGGAUGAAAGAGGACGAGAAGAACGAGAAGAUAAUCCGAGGGCUGUUGAAGCUUCCUGCGAACCGGAGAUGCAUCAAUUGCAAUAAUCUGGUAUUUCUUAUUUCUUUUGUUAGUGCAUAUUCUACGUAUAUUCCUCAAUCUGAUGUCUUAUUCUUGGAAAAGAGAACAUAAACGUAAUCUUGACAUGCAAACAAAUCCAGGAUUGUAGGGCAACAAGGUUUUGAUAAUCAGAGAGAUUGACACGAGGCUGGCUGAAUGGUUGGGAAAGGUCCGCUGAACCGGGCCAAACCGUCUAGUUCAGGCAGUACCGAACCGCACCGAACCAACCCAGUUCAUCAUUCAUAUUAGGUUUCGGCUACCGGCUGGAACCGAUAUUGGACCGGCCGAAAUUAGCCAGAUCGACUGGUCGAUGCCUAACCAGAGCUAGUUUGCACCGAGUCAACCCAAUUAAGAACCAAGUUGGGUAUGGGCCACCUGCCACUGCCCUAUCGGUUCGGUCCGGUAUCAAACCGUACUGGGUGCCAACCGGUAUGGGUCCCGGUACCAGUUCGACGGAUCUUGGUUGGGAUUGAAGGAAUACACACGUAUGUAAUUAGAGACUUCUCACUUCUUUCAUGUUUUGUAAGCCGCGUGAUGUUCAGGUGAUUGACAGAUUUGAGGUGGGAUAUUGGGAUUGAAACCCUAGCCUAAAGCUCUCUAGCAGUGCUUCAUGAUUUUAUAAAUCAUUAGCUAUGGGGAAAAUGCUACAAGGUGCUGCUCAUUUACCUAAUAGUUGCUCGGCCAAUGUGGCAUUGGCGUGGCAUGUAAUAUUGAUUCAAAACCCCUUGUGAAUUACACUAACCUUGUUGAAUGGCUUGUGGAACAAAUGGGGUAGAAGAGCAAGCACACAGAGCAUUUCUCAUUAGCUUUUUAAGGGGGCUUGACAUUCCCUAAUACAGCCAUACAUGAAUUAGUUGGAAAAUUCUCAGUAAUAAAUUAGUUUGAGAAGUUUCAUUAAUUUCUACAAGUUUCUAAAAUUUGCUAAACCGGCUACUCUAGAAGCAAGAAAGCUUGCGUGGCUACCUUAUGGAAUACUAACUAAACCAGAUAUUAAUGCAAAGGUAAAAUAACAAUUUUAGUUGCAUCAGCCAUACCUUGAAAUUGCUGGCUGUGAAGUUUGCUUAUAAUUGAGAAGAGUGGACAGUGCAUGUGAGAAAUAAGAAUUGUAGAACAAAAAUUAAUGAUUUGAUCUGGAUUUCCUUAUAAUCUGUUUUUUUCUUUAAAAAAAAUGGCAACAUUUUUAUCUGUUUUGCCUUUUCCAGCAUUUAUGGAUCAUGUUUAAAAUAAUGCCAAAAAUCAGCAGUUUAGUAAUGCAUGGUCAAAUUCUCUAGGUAGGGGAGUUAAGAUGGUGGGCCUCUGGCUAGAUUUUAUUCUAUUAUGGCCUGGUACUUUAAUUAAGAAAAUAUUUCUAUACUCUAAUGUAGCCUAUGGAUAGCCUUACCUAUGGGAAACUUGGAUAAUUUAAUGAAGCACCAACACUUGUUAUCUAUUUUCAGAAUUACUCAUAAGUCUUGAUUUAAUUUCAAUUCAUUGAGGACUAUGGUGACUGGUCAUAGUGGGAAAUGUUUUGAUUUGUUUUAAUGUUUUAUAAUCCUAUUUUGAAUGAGUCUAGUGUGGAUUGGUCUGGCUCACCUAUGCCGCUUACUUGGUGGUCAACUAUAGAUGUUAAAAAAUUAAGUGUUACUACAGAAAUCUAACGUUAAUAGCAAGGUUCACAAUCUCGAUAUUAGAUUCCAUACUGAUACUAUGUUGCGUGUAUGUAUAUCUGGUACGAGAUUUGGUUUGGCGUAUCGAGACUCGAUACACAUCCCGUUCUGAGUUUCAAUUCGGUACCAAUACCAUACGGUACUCCUGGUACCAGGCAAUAUGGUCUAGCAAACCUUGGUUAACAAUACCAGUUUUGGUACCUGUAUUGGUGCUCAGGUGGUAUAGUGUCAAUAAGGUUCAGUUCUUGAUAUUGAUACUUGGUAUACGGGGUGCACCAAGCACUGGUUUGCUAUUGGUAUGAGUCAGUAUGCCCAGUAUGGACAGCUAUAGUUUGGUAUUACAAUCCAUGCAGAAACCUAAGGCGGACCUUUAUGGACCCUUAUUUGUAUUUUGAGUUCUUUCAUUUUCCAUUUUGACCCAUCAUGGUCUUGUCAGACAUUUAUCACUAUAGAUGAGAUUGCAAGUCAUGUGCUUUGACUUGUGGUUCUCCUUUUGCUCUUCUGUUGCCUCUUCUGUAGCCUCUGCAUGUAGAUUGAAUUUGCGUGGGCUAUUUCCACAAAAAAUUCAUUUAACAUUAUUUGUUGUAAAAUUGGUAAUAUUUGGUGGUUAAGUUGCUAAAAUGCUUAUUUGAAUACAAAUGCACUCCUAGAUAUGGAAUCUUUCUUUGUGCUGGUAUUGUUUUGAGAAAUUUUACUUUGUACCAUACAACAUUUUAGAAGACAGCUGAACAAGUGUUUCAACCCCCCUCCCCUCUUUUCUCCCGCUAUUUUUAGGCAUACUUUCGUACCAAUGACACUUAGGCAAUUUAGAAUUCUGAAAUUCAGACAUGCUGUCAAAUACUUGAACAUGCUUUAGGAUGGCAUGACACUCAUGCUUUGAAAAUUGAAUGUCUUGCAUAUGUUAACCUAUUAAAGGGCACUUAGUAAAACUACACUUCAUCUUCUGUCUUUUGCGAGACUAGAUUGACAUGAAGUGUAGCACCAACCCAACAGGCCAUUUGAAAAUAAACAUAUAGUUAUGUCAUACAGUAACCAUUCUGCUUCUGGUCAUUUUGGUACAUGAAACUUGUUUCAAGUGUCUAAGUCACACUUAUCCUGGGAUAGUAUUCAAAGAAAGGAGGAUAAGAGAAUGGUAAGGAAGAAGAGAAGGCAGUUUUGUCAUGACAACCAAAAGUUUCUCGGCAAUGAUCAUCUAACUCACAAUUUCAUGUUAACUGCAAUAAAUCCAGAAUUUUAUGAAAUGUUCCAAUUCCUUACCUUCUUUCAGAAUCUCAAAUCAUUUUAAAUUUUCUGGAUUUAUUUGAAAUUUAUGGUUCUUUUCUUAAAUUAUUGUUGUUGUUACUCGCAAUACUAUUCUAAUUGUGCAGCGAUCUUACCAAUAUUUAGGUUUUGGAAAUGCUUGGUUUUCUGCCUUGUGCUUAAUGCUAACUGGCUAAUUCUUUUUAAAUGACACUUAAGUAUUAAGCUUUCCUUCUAACAUGGAUGCAACAUCUUUCCUUCAUUCCCUUAAUGUUAAGAGUAUGCCUAUUUAUUAGCUUUGAGUUGCUUUACCAAGGGCUACUGCAGUUUUUCACCUUGAAGAUGGAAGGAUUUUUGUUUUAUAUAUCCUAUCAAUUCUCUAGAUCUGGGUCCUAAUGUUUAGCAAUCCUUUUCCCAUUCAAUGAUUUUUUUUCCACAAAAAAACUGGGUUAAAAGUCUUUUUCCUUAAUUUUUGUAACAAACAACUGAAUAAGGAUAACUUCAUCUGAGAGAACCUUGGGCAUUAGUUUGAAGGAAUUAGGUAGCAUUUCUCAAAUUAGUUCAUUUCCAGGAAUCAAAAGGCUCUCCCAGCCCUCUCCUUGCCACCCAACGCCUCACAUCUAUAUCUUUUAUCUUUUACUAUAUAUAAUCGGAAUUUUGGAGCAUCCAUUGGAUACUUGUAUCUUGGUUGAACGAUCUAUGUUUUCUUCGCAUGAUUAGCAUGUGAGAAAGGAAAUAUGAUCUCUUUUAAUGUGGUUUCUUUCUCGAAUCCCAAUGCAGAAAUCUCAACGAUAUUCUUAAAAAUAUGGAUGCAAUGUAAAUCUCUCAAAUCCCUGUUUAGGUCACUAGGGUCAAAUAUCAACCAUUUUUCUCUUUCUCUCUCACCCUCUUAAAAAAAUCUGUAAAUUUUAAUAAACAAAAAAAUUAAUCACAGCUGUCCUCCACAUGCAUUGAAUAUUUCAUGAUCUAGUUUGCUAUAUAAAUGAAAUACUUGCAUGUUACUCCAUGACUCUUUUACUCCACUUUUGUUGGAGCAUCGUGCUCCCUCUUUGUAUCCAGUUUUGCUGCCAAAUCUUUCUUUCCAAUUAUGUCCUUUAUAUUUGUAGAAGACUAAUAAAUGCACUCAUCAUAUUUUCCUCUUCCUUUGAAACAAUGUCUCUUAGUCAAGAAUAUCUAAUUUAAUCAUAAUAUGAAGCCACUUAUGAUAUGUGAAAUCUUGACUGUGACCUUAGAUUGAUGUACCAAGUGAUCACAUGUGAUGGAUUGCAGCCAUCUUUAGGACUAUGUACUACACCAUUCACAUAAAUAAAUCAAAUGGUGGUAAAUCAAGUGAUUGCAAUGGCCCAUCAUGCACUCCUUUCAUACUUGAUUUUAUCAUAUUCGUCCAUGCCAAAUGCUGUUACUUAAAAAUAGAAGGGCAUGCGGACGGCAAUGUUAAUUAUUCCAGUUGUUUUACAGUUUCCUAGAAUAUUGUAAUUCAGGAGCUUCCAUUAAUCCAUCAACUUGCUUUUAGUUCAAAUCAUCUCAUUUGCUCUAAAAUUACAUGUUUCAGUUGACUAGAAUCGUGGUAGUUUCUUUAUGCAUUGGAUACAUCAAAGUUGUAUCAUUUUUAAGGUGAUAUUGUAGUUUUUUUAUUAAAUUCAAAAACUUAUGAUCAUUCUUUUGCCUUAUCAAUGCCUCCUUUUUUUGGGGAUUGAAGCCUUUCAGUUUCAUAAUUUCAGGACAACCUGCACUUAUCUUCAGAAGGGGACAAUAUCCUGAUGGGGAAUCUGGUGUGGGUUGCACCUGCUAAUUAAUUAGCUGUCCAAUGGUAGAUAAAAGACAGUCUAUAAAUUGCUUUUGAGGGAGAAAUGAUUUGUAGCUUGUAUAAUGGAAAAAGGGGAAAAACUAGAGUAAGUGGAAAAGCAUCCAAGACUUAUUGUAGCUGAAACCAGAACCUCCACUUCUCUUUUGCAUCAUACAAUUUUCAAACAUGAGAUUGCUUUAAUUACAAAAGCAUGACAUCUAUAAAUGAGCCAUUCUCUUGGAUAUGAACAAAUUGCUUGCUAAUUCAUCUUUUUUUGUUUUUGUGCCUUCACUUAAACUGGAUUUAUCUAAUGAAUUAGUUCCUUGACUUCACAACUUUGUUGCAGAAAUCUGUCACUAGAAGAUUUAGUAUGUAUAUUAUCAAGUAAUAACUCUGCUAGCAUGCAUAUGUGAACAGGGACCGCAAUAUGUGUGCACAAAUUUCUGGACCUUCAUUUGUACGAACUGCAGUGGAGUACAGUGAGUAUUUGUUUGAUUUUUCAUUAUGAAUUUUCAUCUUCUGCUUUGAAAUAUUCAGUAUGUUUACAUACUAUUUGUUGUAUAUUGUUUAUGACAUGUAUCUGGACCGAACCUGACAAGGGGUUGAUAGAUAAUUAGAGGUUCCUUGCAGAUUAUUAGCUAGAACAUUAGCUUCAUUGUUAAUUUGACAUUAUCUAUUUGCCAGCCGGGAGUUCACUCACCGUGUAAAAUCAGUAUCAAUGGCUAAAUUUACUUCACAAGAAGUUAGCGCCCUUCAAGAAGGGGGAAAUGAGGUAGUCUUGUGCCUUUUCCCCUUCUCUUUUCCCGAGUUCAUAUAAUCAUCUCAUUGUUGUUUAACAUUAUUGGAUUAUUGGAUGGCUUACCCUUACUUCCAGCAUGCCAGGGGAAUUUAUUUCAAGGAGUGGGAUCCACAUCGGCAUUCAUUUGCUGAUAGCAGGUUAUCACUGGCUCCAAGAUUUGGCUUUUUAAUACUUUUUAAAUGGUAAAAUUAAAUCCCCUUUUUUUACCUUUUCAGUAAUAUUGAUAGACUUAGAAACUUCAUUAAGCAUGUCUAUGUGGAUCGGAGAUUUACUGCAGAAAGAAAUGUUGACAGGCCUCCAAGGAUGAAGGUAAUGUUUGAAUGCUUCACAAUUGAAUUUAGAAGUUUGCUUCUGUUUAGCAUGAUGCCAGUAAUGUGAUCAAACUUGCUGAACGGCUUUUGUUGCAUUUUCAAAUAUUUUUUCAAAAAUGGUUUAUGUAUGUGCAUCUUGCAGGGUGUUAGGGAGGAUUAUAAUGAAAACAGAAAGAUGGAAUCAUAUCGCAAUGAUUCAAGAAGCCCGCCAUAUGAUCUAGGACGAAAUGGCGACAGAAAUUUGAGAUAUAGUUAUGGAGAGCAAAGUCCUGGAUAUGAUCGAGGUGAUCACAGAAGAAGUUCUGCUCGAUUUGAGGUGGUAGAUGAUAGGCUUCGAGAUGACAGAUUUGGAAAUGGAAACCAAAACUGGAGAUUUGAAGACCGUAGGCUUCCAGAUGCACCAAAGUCAGAGGGGAGGUCACCAAACCAUCAGAAACAUGUCAAUGUGACAAAUCCCCCAAUGAUACGCCCUGUAAAGGGUGUUCUAGGUGAUGAUAUGCCAGCAAUUGGAGUUGGUGACCCACCAAAAUCAAAUGAAGCCAGCUGUGAUAAUUCUGCACAGACACAGGUAGAAUUGUAAUUGAUUUACAUAGUUGAUCUGCUGCUUGUGCAUAAGUAGUAACAUAUUUUUUCAGCUUUCUACCGAUCUUUUCGUUCAAGUUAUUUUAUCAUAAAUUGGUACAAAGCAUUUUAUCCCUGCAGUGCUGUCUUUUAGUUACUUUGUAAAGUUCUUGCUCAAUCUCUGAAAUAGUAAUAUAUAACAAAUCCAUGUAUGGUACAUGAUUAUGUUAAGCAGACCUUGUAAGAAAGUUUCUAACAGAGAUACGAGCAUCUUACAGUAGAGAUAAAAUGAAAUGCCAGCCUUAAUUUUUUUGUAGUAUCACUAACAAUUAAGAUGAUCAUUGAUUUGAAUUGUAAGGACUGAAGUAGUCAAAUAAAAAGAUCACUUUUACAUAUGCUUGUCUAAGUUAUCGCUAACUCACACAUACAAUUCCAACCUCCAUUGUAUCUUAUUCUGCAUAUCUUACCAAACAUGCAUUAGCCUGCACAAUCUUUGUUACUAUAAUCAUGACAUAGAUGCUUGAUUCGAUAUGUCAGGUGUUGGAUUCUGGAAUCUUUCAUUGUCAUUCUUAUCAAAUGGCAGGUCCUUGAUCAAAACAAAACUCUCAAAUAUUCUCCAAAGAUUUUGUAAAUGUUUUCAUAAACUCCCAUUAGCUCGUCCAAUCCCUUAAUAUUAGUACAAGCUCUUAUGCCAACUGAGCAUCCUCUGAUUUUCGUGACAAGCCUAAUCUUGUUUCCUGAAUCCAUCUUAAAAUCCUUAUAGAUUAACCAACACAAAUAAUCAUGUAGUUGUAACUAACAAAAAUUUUCCAUUUUCACAGGUUGGUAAUAACCAACUAAAAUGCUCUACAUCUUUUAUCUAAUAAUCAUCAGUUCUCACAGUCAUAUCUAGAUAUAAUUUAGACAUCCUAUCCACAAAGAGGUUAUUUCCAUAUUUGGUUGGUUCUAGGUUCCUUCUUCAUGAUUGAUAUAUUCUAGUUCCUUAACUCUGAAAUACAAAUACGAUAAAAAUGAUAACCUACCAUUUGGACCGGUUUUUUAUUGUUAAGAUUCAUUGGUUUUAUAGUCCAUUCUUUUGUUUUCCUGAGUUGUCAGCUGUUACCACAUUGCCUCCUAUAAAAAAAACAUAAUGCUGUGUUCCUCCUGGAAAGCCUUUAAAUUAGAGCACUAAUGCUUGAAAAGUAUCAUAUAUUCCAGGGGACCUCAUCGUCAAGUAGCCCAGGAUCCACUGAUGGAAAUUCAGUGCAAUUGAAGAGGGCAAACUCUGGAAAUUUGAUUUCUUUUAGUGCGGAUCCUGUGCCUCCUGCUGCUGAAGCACCGCAACAAGCUGUUCGUCAAGAAACAGCCUCUCCUUCAUCUGGUGGUGGAGAUUGGGCAUCUUUUGAUGUGACUGGCCAACAGGAAGCACCUCAAGUGGUUGGAAAUGUCAAUACUCUGGAAUCUGCAUUAGCCCAAUUAUCAAUUCCCGAAUCUGCGUCAGUAGGCAAUAUGUCAACUUUGCCUGUUCCUGGUGUUGAUUCCUCUCCAAAAACACAGGACGGAGCACAGUUGCCCAUGAUGCAACAACAACAGCCUUUGCUAUUUCCUGUUGCUGGCAGUCAGUCUAUUAAUCAACCAUCUAGCUUAUCUGCUGUUGGAUCUCCAAACAACCAGGUAAACUUAUUUAUUUUGUGCCAAAUAUAUACUAUGCACGCAUGUGUUUAUGUACAAUACAAGAUAUAUACUAGGUUACAUCUUUUGCAUCUUUUUUUUUCCAGAUAUGCAGUUCAUCACCAGCACUGAACAUGCCUGGAUCUUUGUCUGCCCCAGCUGGUGCGCCACCUGGACAUCUAUCUCAAAUAGUCAUAAAACCGCCUCAAGAAACAAAUGCUGGAGUUUCGUCAGAACCCUCUUCCGCAGAUAGUAAAACCAGUGGAAGGAAAGAACUUCCAGAGGUUGUCAUUAUUAAGAUGUCUUGUCAUGGACACAUGUUUCAUGUUAUUAUUACCUAUCAUUACUCAUAAAUGUUAAACAUAUACAGGAUCUUUUCACUUCGCUCUUUUCAACAGCUUCUUUAUCACCUUCAGGCUAUCUACGAGGUCCCCAGCUUGGCAUGGGGUAUGGAAUGCAAUAUCCCACAGGAAUGGUAUGUACAUGGAUUUGCUGUGUUUCCUUACAGAUAUCGCAAAUAAGUGCAUGGUGUUUGCCUUUCUUCUGAAGCUGACUUGCACAUAAAUUUUUCCCUUUCAGAUAGUGCCAGCAUAUCCUCAGUUAGUGAAAUCAGCAAAUCCAUUUGAUCUCACCAAUGAACCAGCUCCACUUAGUGCUCCCAUGGUAUGCAAGUUCAUCUUGUUACAAAAGUUGAAUAUAAGAUUUGAUAUCAAUAAAUGGGCAAAAAGCCCUCAGACCAAGGGGUUCAUGUUGUGCACUUUAAAACUGAUUGCCCAGCAAAAUUUGUGCACAAUUUUAAACACCUUUUUAUUUGAUUGUAACCAUGUGGCAGAUGGGAUGAAGAUGACAUGCUUUUAUCUCUGAUUAAGGAUGAAGUGAAAAACUGGGUUCUAAGAAAAGAUGCUCCUCGGAGAGGCGUGUAUGGAAUGUAAACAUUUAAGGUCACUUUGAUAAUUUAGAAGUGUGGCCUUUUUUUUUCUUUUUCCUUUUCUUUUUGGUUGAUUAAGAAGUACAAGAGGCAAUAUUGGCUUGUGAAAGGCGUAGUUUUUGGAGAAGCUUUGGGUGGGUAGAGGAAUUGCUAAAGAAGAUUGAUUUCAUUGGGUAACUUUCUUUGUUAGAGGUGUUUUGUUAUUAAACAGAGGAGGGCAAUCAGGAUUGUAUGAGUCUGCUCUUUCUGCAAAUGAUAUGCAAGACUUUUCGUACGAGGAUUGAUCUCUUUUCAAAAGUCUUCUUUUUAAAAUUUCACUUCUUGGUGCACUUGAAGGUUGGAAUUUAUGAAGAUUGGGAUGUAUAGGUACCAACCUAUAGACUAUGGUGGUCUGGUGUCAACUUAUAGAUUUUGGUGAUCUCCUGGAUGCCACUCUGCCUAGUUCCCGCCACCUAGGCUUGCCCUAAAAGUGAGUCAGCUGCCUUACCAGUGGUGAAGUGGCCAGCCUAGGUUUCGGCAGGUUGAAUUUUGACCAUCUUUUAUGGCUGUUAGGUAUUAGAGUGUGGUAGGUUGAAGGUAUUUGCAUGUCAUCUGACAGAGUAUAACAUUCAGCACCUUUUCCUUUGAUGUCCAAACACCUCUGUUACAAAUUAAGACUGAUAAUUGUUUAGCUGUUUUUUUCCAAGUUUGUAUUGAUUAUUCAUCACAUGGUAGGGUUACUUGUAUUAAUUUAAAUUUUUAACCAUUUUAAUUUCCAAACAAUUUGCAAUGUUGUUUAAUGUGUAAGGUAAAUUUGUUCCUUUUUGGUUUACAUGUUAUUAUUGCAAUAAAAUAGGUGUUUAAAUGAUAAGUAUUUUUCUGGCAUAUUUCUAUGUCGUUUAAUUUGUUCUAUUUAUUAACAAAUAUGUAUAUGUAUGGAUGCAAGUAUACAUACAUGUAUGUAUCCAGUUACUUUUGUACACAUGUACAUGAAAUAUAUAGAUUGUCUAGGCAGGUUGAGGUAUUAGGCAUGUCAGAUGGCAGAUUAUAAUCAUCAGUACCAUUUCCUUUGAUGUCUAAAUAUCUUAGUUACAAAUUAUAGAACUUUAUUAGUUGUUGUUUAGUUUCUUUUUGAUAUCAUUAUCAUAGAAUCUCUAUGAAUAUAGAUCAUCUAGUCAAAAACCACUCAAACUUUAAAAAAGGAAUCAACUUAUAGCAGCUCAUGUAGUCUGAUGGUUAAUCUGAAUAGAGUAUAUUGCUCGAGUCUUCGGGCUAAAUUUCAGUGUUCAAGGUGUUGCACUUUGCUCCAACUUAAAAGUUGAACUGUUAUGGUAGACAAGAAUAAGUAGUAAAGUCCAUUGGUGUUAUGUCGAUUCUAAUUUAUGUUGGUGUCAAAGAAUAGGAGAUUUUCCAUUUCAUUAUAUAUGUGUUUCUUUGUACUGUACCAGUACAAGAAACAUAUAUUUUAAGGAUAAUAUGUUAGACCCUUCAGCCAAUUUGACCUCUCUUGAAUCCAAUGUUAACCCAGAAGAUUACAUAUUCUUAAAAUUGUGGUUUAAUAAUAUAUAUAUGUAACCACAAUUUUAAGAAUAUGUAAUUUUCAGGGUUUCUGUCACUUGGGCUCAAUUAUCAGGAUUUGCAUAUUUUUUGUCCUCUGGUCAAUUGCAUAUUGUCUUGAGAUAAGCAUAGACAACUUUAAAUAUUUCUUGUUUGGUAAAUGUUAAGCCCAAAAAUCUCUGUAUAUUUAUCGUGGCCAUCAAGAGAAAUUUAUUGUAAUAUUGGUUCCUUCAGUAAGAGGGUGGGCUUUGGUGCAACAACAAAGUUGCUCCAUUGUGACCUGGGUGUCACAUUGAAACAGCCUUUUUUCAUGCACGGGUCCCAGACUCUACAAUGGUGCGAGCCUCGUGCAGUAGAUGCCUUUUUUAUUGGUUCCUUCAAUAUUGAGGUCUCUCUGGUUGUCUCAGGCUUCUAGAAAAUAAGUUAUCAUGUGGACAAAAGUACUAAUCCCUCUAUUUUUUUAGAAACCAGUUGUGGUUACAAGACUUAGGAAAUGAGCUAUGGUUGGGUGGAUUAUAAUGGUCAAAGUACUGGCACCACCCACCUGAUAUUUAAUUUAAGAUCUGAAAAUGUUUUAUUAUUGAAUUUCAUUUUAUUUGCCAUGAGGAAAUAAAAGUUAGCUGCAACUUGAUGAUCUUUGUGGAGAACCAUUAUAAUUCCUCUUUUACAUAUUUGACAGCGUCACAGGAAAUUCCAAGCUAAUUUCUCUGAUUGUUAUUAUCUUAUUUACUGUAUAUUUCUGUUUGCAGCAAUAAAUUCUUUGAUGUGCUAUACAUAAAUAUAAAUAUAUUUGGGCAUAAAUAUGUCCUUUAUGAUAUGCUUAUUAGAAACUCUGACAUGCAAAUUAUUGUAGUAUUCACCGAUUCUCCUGGCAUUGCACUGUAAGUCUGUAACUGUUCAUUUUGCUGGCCUUCAGCUUCAACAAUCCGAUGUCUGUUACACAACUAGUUGGAAAAUUCAUGGAUUGUUGUACAACAUCUAUUAUUGACCUGAAUAAAAAACUGUAAAUGAGCAGUUUGAUCUUCCCCUUGUUAUGUUUAAUCUAGUAAGCAUUCAGCAAGUAUGAAACUGCUUGCUAAGAGUGUGUCAAUGCUAUUUCAUGAUUGCUUUCAAUUGGAAUGCCUUCAAGACCCAAAACGACUCAAUAUUAACUGAAUGGGGUGAUGAUUCCCAACAAGCAGCAAGUAAAAUCCCAUUUUGGUUAGGAGACACUUGCCCUUCGCAGAGCGUAUAAUUUAUGGAUCUAGUCAUAUUAUUUGUUCUGUUGUAUAUCUAACUCAGAAUAUCUAGAGAUCGUUUUACAACAUCUAUUAAUUGACCUGAAUAAAAAACUAUCAGUGAACACUCUGAUCCUCCCAUGGUUCUGUUUAAUCCAGCAAGUAUCAUUGUUUUGCCUUGGAUUCAGUAAGUAUUUAACUACUUGUCAAUAAUAUGUCGAUGCCAUUACUGUCUCUUUCAAUUGGAACUCCAAUUGCAAAUUUAUUUUGAUCAAUUGGAAUACCUGCAGGCUAUAAUGCCGCUGAAAACAACUAAUUUUUAGCUGUAUCUGGUGAUGAUUCAUGUCAGGCAGCGAGUCUGGUCUCCAUUUUGUCACAACUCAAGAAACAUGGCCACUUAAUAGAGGAUAAAAAUGCCUUCUCUUUCUCUCCCCUUUUUCCUAUUCUAAAACUUAACCCAGGUCAACUAUGUCUAACAAAACAUAAGGUCCAGUCAAGUCUGACCAGAUUGACCAGCUUAUCUGGACUUGCAGAAGCUUGUCAUUCUGAGCAAAGUUUGUUAUCCAGUCAACUUAAGCUUUAAAUUCUGAGAUUGCUGAUGUUUAUCUCUCACAAGGAUUUGAAUGCGUGAUGCAUGAUUUUGUAGGUCAUAUACGAUGCCUGAAAAAAUCCAUACGCAGUUACCGUCAGAUAUCUAUGCAAUCUAAAUAUGUCUUUUUCUGUAAUGUAGUUCCCAUCUAUGGCAUCUCUUCAAGGGUCAAUACCAAACAUGAGUGUUCCACGAAACUUACUACGCAGUUGCAGCUUUGGAGGUCCUUCCCCACGACAGAUGCCAUCACAGCAACCAUCUUAUCUAUCAUCCAUAUCUCCAAGUAAAGUUAUACCAUAUCUUCAGACUUUGCCACUAUUGAUAUCUUAGAGUAACCUUUCUAUUUGUAAAUGUUGCUAAUGCCAAGUUCAAUCCUCAGGUCUGUAUAUGAUGCAGCAGGUCCCAAGCAACAUGCGUCAUCAUGUACCUACCAAUAUGGUUCCCAUGGUGUAAGUCUUUUAACAGUAUCUGUUAUUUCUUUGCUUCUUUUCUUCAAUAAUCAUUCUAGCUAAUUACAAGACAUGCAAACGAUUAUCAAAAUCUGUAGAUUAUCUAUCUGUCCAUUAAGAUUGAAACAAACAGGUGCAUUAUCAUGUCCUGAUCAAUAUUUUCAAAAUUCAGAUCAUCUACCUAUUUAAUCAGAUUGUUAUAUCUUUCAACUAAGCCGAUCUCCUGCAACUGGAAAUUGAUGGCCACCUUCAUUACACUUUGGUUUGACAGUGAUAUUUGUAUCACUUCAAAACUUUCCUGGUCAUAAUUGAUGAUAUAGCUUCUGUACCUAGUUCUACUACUUACCUAUUUGAAACCUCAGUUACCAACCUUGUUACAUAAAACCAUCUAAAUAGAGUAUUAGAUCCUGAAACUGGAAAUGGAGCUUACUGAAAUAAAAGAUCAGGUUUGGGACUUUGCCACCUCAACUGCAUUUGCAUUUUUUAUAUCACUUCAAAGUUUUUCUGAUCAUAAUUGAUAAAGUAGCUGCUUUACCUAGUCGAGUACUAAUUACUUGAAAACUUAGUUGCUAACUCUCUUUCAUGAAACCAUCUAAGGUUCAAAAUAAAAUGUCUGAUCCUGAAACUGGAAACAGAGUAUAGUGAAAUAAAUGAUCACAAUUGGGACUCGCCACCUCAACUGCAUUGUGCCCUCUUAUCUGUAUUAUCAUGGACUUACAAAAUACUCGUGCAAAAUAUUGCUUGUAUAGUAACAUAGGCAAUUUUUCUCGUGAAAAAAAGUACCAAAGCCAUGUGAACAUUUUAUGUGUAUCAUUGCAGACAUCAAGGAAUUGUAGGUCUUGGCAGUGAGGGAGCUGCUUUUGGCAGUAUAGGUAUUGAUCAUCAUCCAGCUGGCCGAUACUCCCUACCGAGCACCCCAAAUUCUUUUUCUCCUGCUGGAGGAAACCCUUUUGGAUAGAAAUGAGAAGUGAAGCCAUUGAUUGCUGCUUAUGCUGGCAAAUACUUAACCGAUCAUGGCUUAAAACCCACAUGUUUCACCAAAUCCUCUGGUUAACGAUUUAAAAACAGUCAGCCCUGGUGACAUGACUUCCAGUAUUUGGCCAGUGUGGUCAGAGCAGAAGUUCCAGGUUUCAUGUAAAACUAGCAUGAAGAGAAGGAAAAAGGCAAAUAUUUUCUGAUUGAAAGAAGGGAGCAUUAAGCAGGCUACCUAGUCAUUUUUCAGUCCUUAUUUACUGUAAAUUAUUGCGGUCAUGAGAUUGGAUUAUGCAAACUUUCAGGGCUGUGCUGUUUCAUUUUACAGUUUGUAGUCAUUAUGGGUCUUCCCCUGUUCUGCGCCCCCUCCCCCCCCCCCAGCUUUUUUUAAAUUUCCUCAUGCUGUUUCCUUUUCCGUAUGUAUUAUUGCCUGAGUCUGUGAAGGGGCUAUGUAACAUUAUGCCAGUAGAGUUCUCUUAUGUGUAAAUGGCAAAUCAUCUUUGGAUAUUUGUCAGUUAGCUAUGUAUCAGAUAGCUUUGAAUAUUUAUUGGAGUAAUCUUUGAAUGAUAAGGAAAUCGUAAGGUUUUCAGGAAGAUACUGGAUUCUCUUGAUUGUGAAUAUUCUAUUAGUAGAUUUUGCUGAAAAUGUAUAUUUCCAGGGGCACUGCUUUAUUUUGGCCACACACUGCUGCACAUGAUGAUGUUUAUCGAGUAUUUCAUAUUUUGCAUUUGCUUUAAACUCCAAGCUCAUGAUCCAGGGUGUGCUGCUUGUUUGUUGAUGUAUGGAAUUUCACACUUGUUUUCUGAGGAAUCAUGAUCUUAUAUUAUGUAUUUACAAUCGUGUUGCUUGUAUGAAUCCAGUAGGAUCUAUCAAAUAUUGACAAUUUGUGAAGUUUUACUUGAUCAAGAUGCUCUUCUUCAGAACCAUGCAGGGGCAAAAUACCUAGAAAUUGGCAGUGACUGAUUUGUGUCAUCAGCGAGAACUGAACUGUUGGAUUACGAGAAUGCCGCAUGGUGAAUGGGUAUUUUCUGUACAGANNNNNNNNNNNNNNNNNNNNACUAGGUGCCUCACGUGCCUCGCAGAGGCGGGGGCGUAAUAUUUGGUAUCAGAGCCGAGGACGACUCUUGUCCGAUGGUGGGAAGGGUGUAAGGCCCAAUAGUCCCACAUCGGAAAGACUCGUUCUAGAGCCUGGGCAUAUGAGGCGGGUGCCUCACGUGCCUCGCAGAGGCGGGGGCGUGACAGAAUCAUGAUCUUAUAUUAUGUAUUUACAAUCGUGUUGCUUGUAUGAAUCCAGUAGGAUCUAUCAAAUAUUGACAAUUUGUGAAGUUUUACUUGAUCAAGAUGCUCUUCUUCAGAACCAUGCAGGGGCAAAAUACCUAGAAAUUGGCAGUGACUGAUUUGUGUCAUCAGCGAGAACUGAACUGUUAGAUUACGAGAAUGCCGCAUGGUGAAUGGGUAUUUUCUGUACAGAAGAUGCAUGGGGGGCAGGGAAAUCGAGGAAUCUGGGAUCUUUUCUUCACUAUCAUGUCGAUUCUACUUGCCUUCUGCUCUUCCAAACCAGGGGAGCGGCCAGCAUCCACACUGCAAACACCAUUAAAUAGGUUAUAUGGAUAUCGGGGGCCACCAUGCAUCAGCGGUGCUCUUAUGCUGCUCGCAUGGGAGAUAUUUAUACGUUCAUCAGCCGAAACAUGGAAAAUGGCCCCACCUGAAAAACUCGUACCUCGCUUAAGGCACUCGCUCAAAGUUGAUUAUGUGGCUACGUCUAAGACUUCUUUUUUUAAUACAUAAAAACCAGUGCAAAAAUAAAUAAAGAUAUGACAUAUAUGGUAUGCUCCCCUAAAAGUUAGCAGAGGAGAGCAAAUUGCUUAGGCCAAAAUUUCAAAGUAAAGCUUGUUUUGGACAAAUCGAGUCUCAUUCCUGGUUUCUAACUCUCGGUGGAGUCAAUAAGAUAGCACAAUAGUUCUCCAAAUAUGGAAUGCAAUUUCGGACGGUGCAAAAGGAAACUUGGUUUUGAGAUUGAACUUUGCUACUUUGUUGACGAUACUUCCAAAUCGAAUAGAUUUACAAUGUACAGACGAAGAGCCAAUAUCUGACAACAUACUGACUUGUUGAGCAAAGAUAUGCUUAUGGCCAUGGUACCAUCAACCAUUAGGGAGUGACUACCUACUUUAGUAGCUUCCCCCGGAUUUAGCUUACUAGCGGCAGGCCAGCAAGCAACAGAGUCUACGUUGAUUCAUCCCAAAACUCAUUUUUACAGAAUUACUACCAAAUGGAGAGAGAGAAUUUGGGAAUGUGGAGAAAAUGCUGCUGUUUUAUUUCCUCCUCUUUUUUUCCUUCCUAAAUAUAUUUCCAAAUCCCCAAAAGUGCCCCUCCCCCUCUAACUUAGCAACGAAAGGGUGUGUUUCCUCCCAAGGAAAAGUUCUUUGAGAUCUUAUUUCUCUUUGAAUAUCAAUUUUUUGUUUGUUUCAUUGGAAAAAAAACAAAUUUAAAAAUAUUAUAACUAAUCUUUUCGUAAACAUUUUGUUUUCCAUGAAAAAAUCCUAUUUUUCCUUUUCUUUCUCCAUUGAUCCUGGCGACCCAAGCAUACGGUAAACAGGACCUUAGCAUGAUAUCUCAAGGGACGAUAAAUUACUAGAUAGUGGCAUGGAUGAUAAGAAGCAAAUAGGAAACAUCAAAGCUAUAGUUACCAUUAGGAGAUUGUGUAACGCAUAUUGUGAUUUAGUACUUGCCGUAAACUAGUGUUGCUAGCCACUCAUUCACAAUUCUGACCCAAGUACUGGCCCAUCCAACAUCUAUUGUCCAUCUGUAAAAUUUAAAGGAGAAAAGAUUCCACAUGUAGUUAAGAUGCAUAAAUACAUACCAAAAUAUAAACAUAUACCAAAAUAUAAGCACGUAUCAGUUUAAUUGCUAUCUCCAAAAUCUUUUACUUAAGAAUCUUUUUAUAAAUGUGAAAAAAUGCUUAUUUUUUGAGAUACAUGAGUAAGGUUUGUGUUCGAUCUCCCGACAUAUUUUCAACUGGUUGUUUUGCAUGCUGCAUUUUCCAGGUUCUUUUUUCAGUCAUUUGAAGUAUCGUUUGCAGAAAUUGACACUGAUGUGACAAAGACCCAAAUACUAUGCAUUCUUAAAAUGUUAUAGGGUGAAAGCAGUGAGACCUCAAGCAGGUAUAGAACUUUAAGAGAAGAUUCAAUCUGCUACCAGAAAUCUGGCAAGAAAUGAAACAUAUCCAACUUGUUUCUCAGUUAGCCACAUAAAUUAUCAGAAAGUAUUAUACAUUUAAGUUAGCUGAAGGUUAGAGGCGGACCCGGUAAAGAGAUGGAAUUAACUUUGUGUGCGACCAAAUGCAGAGGAUAUCCAGAGAGACAUGUCAUGGCAAAGACUUUAAGCAAGUAAUGGAGGACAUGAUCCUAGGAUAGGAAGACGUUCAAUAUAAAGACCUAAAUAACGGGCAGAAAUCUUUUGAUAAUGAUUAGGCUCCAUCCAGAAUCUGGAGAGGUAUCAGAUUUUGUGAUACGCCAAGCAACUUUAGGAAGAAUGUUUAGAUGGGGCAAGCAAGUUGACUCUUAGGCAUACAUUAGUUGCACAUUGAAAAUGCCAAACAUGAAAGUAAGUGACACAUAUAACCGUACAUGCACAUUUAAUAAAUUUAUGGUCAUAUGUUACCAAGAUUAUAAAAAGAGCAAUUCGGAAAAAAAUGCGUUAGGAUAAAUGAAUAUGCAUAGAGACAAUAAAAACUUGGAUGGGAAUCUAGCAAUACCCAGCAAGUAGAAUAUUCAUCAGUACGUAGAACGAAUGCAUAGAGCUCUAGUAUGCCGAGAUGAAAACUUACUUUUGCAUUGUUUUAUGUGCAUUCCAGCCAAUGAAUAACAUGGCAAAGUACAUCCCCCCCAUGGCAAAAACUAAAUGGAAAAAUCCAUACCCAUAUGGAACGUCAUCUUCUGAUUCUGCUUCAGUCUUCUUGAACUGCAUUGAUAAUAGUGAGCGGUCAUAUAGAAACACACAAAGUGAGUGGAACAAAUAGCCAGCCGAUGAAAAGGAAGGUGAAAUGUUAGUGAAGUGCACCUGAAAGCAUUUGGAAUCUAUUCCUGUUGAAAAUGUUGCCAUAACCAUGGCAAGUACAGAAAUAACAAAGCUCUGUCCAUAAAUAAAGUUCAGAUCAGACAAACCAGAUACUCUAGUUGUAUCCAUAUGCAUUGUAAGCUCAUAACCGUAUUCAUGCUAAAUGACAGUCACAUCAAAUUUGUUAUAAGCUCAUCGAAGUACAGGAGACCAGAGUAAUAAUAAUAUUCUAUAAAUAAAAUUCUCAACUCAUUGAAAAAUCCAUUCAACUUUGGGGCACAAAAAGAUGGACUAUGAUAUCAAAAUUUUCAUCAUUUUUUCUGAAUAAUACUGACAAGAUGAAAGAAAGAAAAUCAUACUUUUAUUAGUUUAUAAAAAUUUAUGUGGAUAAAUAAUGUUUUUCAUGAACAUCUUAUGAAUUAUUGUAUUUCUUUUCUUCAAAAUCUGUCUUAUCCAUUGUCAUCUUUUGAUUAAUUUGAAUUUAUUCCAAUCAUUAAUAUAUUUCUGAAUUUUCUUCAUUUUCUCUUAAUGCCAAAUGAGAUUUUUUGCCCCCAUUAAGAUGAUAAUGAGAUGUGAAUAUGUUUCGAUGGUUGCUAUAAAGUAUUUUGAGAUUUCCGAUAACUCAAAAGACAAGCUAAUAUCUGGAAGUUGAUCUAUCAAUGAAGAAUAAAAAUAUAACAAUCAGAGCUCACCUAAAAAGGUUAGCCAGAAAGUAUUGUUUGGAUUUUUUGGCCCUAUAUAACUGCUCAAGAUCUACCCAGUGCAUAACUGAUGUGAGACUAAAAACAUAUCAGCUGUCCUCACAGAAAAUGUUUUGCUCCUUUAAGCAGAUGAACCAGCCUCUGCCUGGAGGUUCAAUUGCUCAUAAAACUACCAAAUGGCACCAACAGAUCAUGCAGAAGAUUGAAGUUACAAUAACACCAAGAAACUUGGUUAAGAGUUCUACUAGUGUUCUUAGUCCAUACUGCUCCCUUGAACCAACCACAUGAGGCCAUGUUAUCUUCGGAAAUACCUCAAAUAUGAAACUUCGUGGCAACCUAAUUCCUUUAAAGAUAGAAUUACAGAAAAAAGAGGUAAUCCAUUGCAUCAUGAACAAUCCAUGGUAUGUUACAUAUCGAAGGCCAGGUAAGAAUUAUGGAAUUUCACAAACAUGCAGUUCUGUAAUCUUCUAUGUUUAUUGGCAUGAAGCAAAUUAUUUUAAUUCACAAAAGAGGAAGCCAAAUAUUCUGAAAAAUUGUGAAGGUUGUUGUAAUCCGGGAAUAUUCUAGAAUCUAUUAGCAUGAUAGUUAUUCUGGAAAUUUUCUAAAUUGGUAUUUCCUCUGAAAAUACCUAGAUUAUCAAAUUUGAUGCUAACCUUCUUUUAAGACAAGAGUAGGGAAGAACAAGGUCAUCUAUUACAUCAUGAAGAAUCAGCAAUAUUUCAUAUAUCUAAGAGAAUAUACGAGUUCUGAAAUUUCUAGGUAUGCAGUUUUGUUAGUCAUCUAUGCUAACUAGCAUGAAGUAAAACAUUCUGAAAAAUUUACCAUGAUUGUAAGCCAGUCUGCACUUGCUGCAGCUUGUGCUUUUUGGUUCCAAAUCUCAGUCUGUGGCUCACUGUCAUUAUGAAGGAAAGAUCACGAAAAACUACUCAGUGAAGCUAAGGACGGAGAACAUAGCGCAACUUAGUUUUCUUGUAGCCGCAGAUGAAUACUAAUAGAAAAAUUGUGAAACCAAAUUGUACAUAAAAUUCACCUCCUGAUUGCACUCCAGCAAAGAAAUACAACAUACAAUCCCAUCAGCCCAGGUGACAGGAAUCCUUCUUUCACCUAUAUCAAACAUGAAAUUACAUAAGUCAAGGAAGGGAGAAAAGAGUUGUUAUAGAUGCAGUCUUUUGCAUUCAGUGGAAUAAACAUUAAUUUACCUUAGAGAGCACUGCGACAAAGGUCAUGAAUUGUAGAAGCACUAGGGUCAAAGUGAUAAAGACGAUGUUAAGCCUAUAAGUUGGCUUUGGUGCAUACCAUACAUACAUUAAGACAAUCCCCAAAAUGGAAGCAACAUAUGCAGCAAUGGAGAGUACGAGCACUUGAAUGCGGCUGCAGGUCACAUAUCUUCACAGUCAGAUUUAAAGCAGAAGAUGUAAGUUAAUGAAUAAACAAAUGGUAAUAAAAAAAAUAUUUUGGUGAUUAAGAUUUUUCAACCUACUCACCUAGAAAUUCAAUAGUAAUAUCGUAACGCUAGCACAAUCUACAAAUCUAUAUGAAACGUUUGUAUCUGAUCAAUUUCGUUUUGCCCAGUCAACAACAUUUUUGGUUUAAGUAUGUUGUCAAACUCAUUGAUCCAGGAGGAUCACCAAAUCCAUUUUUGACUAGCUCAGCUACAUCAAGUAGGUUUCGGGAUAUAGUUCAAGAGCAGGAUUCACCGCAUCCAAGACCGAGCUAUGUGCCAAAACUUCCAGAGGGCAUAACUUUCAUAUAUGGUGUCCAUUCAGGGCACCUUUUUUUUGGAAAUUGGAUAAUUUUUCCAAAUCUAUAAUGCAGCAACCAGUUCCCAGACUUAUUGGGCUCUGGACAACCCUAUAUGAAGCCUAUUUAGGCCUUUCAAAAUUUUCACUCAAAUCAAAAUCUGUCAUUUUUGAAAAAACUUUUGACCAUACAGUAUCUUUCAAUCUAAGAGGAAUUAGACAAUAUGAUAUUUAGCUCAGUAAAAUUUAGCUUUUUUGUCAUUGUUUCUACUAAUCGCAUAAUAUUUAAGAAAAUUGUAACCUCUUUUAACUAGAAGAGGAAUCCGACUAGAAUUUUGUAAAAGCGAACCUCACUAGUAUAAAUAGAAGACUUGAACAAUUUUAUUCAUCUUUAAUGAAAGUAAAGGGCUUAGAACUUCAUUUUUGAAAAUAUUUUAUAUUCUCCAUUGUUUUAUUUUGAGAGAUUUGAGUUUGAACGGGUUGAUAAAAAUUUUUCUUGUCCUUGCUCGGAUAACACAAAUAUGUACGUGCGCAUGUAUGCAUACAUACAUGCAUGCAUCCAGGUACAUGCAUAUAUACACAUGUAUAUGUAUGUAUAACACUUGUAUAUAAAGACCUGUUUUAUUGACCUAAAUUCUGAUUUGACCACAAUCCAAUCCAUAUACAUAAUAAAGAUUUUAUUUCAAAAAAUUCAAACAAACUAAAGACAUGAACAAAAUUAAGAUAUGGUUAGAUUCUCAUGUGAAGUUGCAUAAGCAAACUCUUUAUGAUCACGAUUGAUAAUAUUCAUAAGAUACAAACCAACAUUUGGAAUUUUAAUCAAAUGUGGUAUGACAUUUCCAGGUGAUGCUUUUUCAAGGACAAAUCAUGCUCUGAUCCAUUUGUCUCCUGAUUAGAUUACCAGAAAGAUACAACUCCUAGCAGUACUGCCAACAAGUAUAUCCUAUUCAGCAAUAAGUAUUGAUAUAAGGCUUCCACACAGUUUAUAAUCCUUCUUCAUAUGCAAUACUCAUUCAUGACAAUGAUCCUAUUUGCACUACAUUCAGAUGGAUCUGCCACAUCUUAUGCUGUUCUACUAUAAGAAUUUUCUUUCAUAUGAGGGCUUUUCAAAGUUCAUUAUAUUUACACCAUGAAGGACCUCAGUUUGUUCAUCAGCUUUUUCGGUUUCCCAUAAUAGUCAUUAAAGAACUUUCUCAUGGACUGCUAUUGAAAACAUAGUGUCUUCAACAGAAAUGCCACAUAAUACAGAUGCAUACAUAACAUUAUUCUAUUCAAACAUAUUUUAAAAUAGUGUUUAAAAAACACAAAAUGAUUUGAUGUGGAAUCAAAAAGUAUUUAUUUAAUUACACCGUUCGUGGAAGCAAAUUCAUGGCAGGACAGAAGAUUUCCAGUCUGCUAGAAAUACAAAGCAUAAUUUUUUAAAAAUAGUCGCUGGGCAUAAAGAGUAGAUAUACCAUGUUUUUACAUUUUUCUUGGACCGGCAAUAGUCAUUCAACCAUGUAAUGAAACUGAUCACACUGACUAGUUGAAUCAGAAGAAAUGCCCUGAAAGGAAGUCAUUGAGCUAUAAUUUUCUGCGUAGGUCAUACUAACAAACUACCCAUGGAUAAAUGAUUGGUUCUAGAACAUGAAAGAAAGAAAAAAGGAUAUAAAAAUGGAAGUAGGCCUUCUUACCCAGCACCAAGGUAUGCAAUCUUCCCUGAAAAAUCAGCAAUUAUUCAGUCUCAGCAGAAGCAAGUCAUGGAAUCACAAAUAUUUAACUUUAAAUAAUCAUAAUGCACAACUGAAACCAACCGUAGAGCUGGAUAAAUGCGGUAGGUAUAAAGAACGGCACCACCAUGAAACCCAUCCACAUGAUGAUCUUAGCAGGCCACCACUCAGAGUGCCAUGAGUUCCGACGAUCAUCCAACUUCUUCGUGCCAGCCGUCGAGAGAAACAUGACAAAGAAGAAUAACUGUCAAAAGUUAAGAGUAACCCACUGAAUUUAGGAAUGUUCAUGUCAUGGCCUACAGACUUCAAAUCAGAGGUAGGAGAUAAAUGGAAGGACUGGAACUCCAUUUGAAGGAACUUGGCUUCCGCGGCACAAAGAGAGAUCUGGUCUAGGAAAAACCUCACCAGGGUUCCAAAUUCUACAUUGCUUUUAUUUUAUGGAACUCCACUUGAUUUCUCGUGUAAGAGGGAGCAGUGACAUUGGUGAGGCAUCAAAUUUUUGAUUUUCAAGGUUAUUACCAUUGUAUUCCACUCCUAAUUCCAAAAUCGACAGCAACUUUUAGUAAGUUUGCAAAGGAUACGAAGCAGCCGAAGCUAAUGCGGAGCACACCUUCUGCACCCAAGCAGUAACGAGCACCAUGGCAGGCUUUUAAUCCUGCAUAGAUUAAAAUCCAGGCAAAGUGACUGAGAAAUCCCAUACAGCGCCGAAUGCAGAAAAAAGGACGGAACUAGGCGUGGUUCGUACGCCGGAACGCGGAGAUGGCAGAGCGGCCGUAGUCUCGGAUGGCCCAGGCCAGGAGGCUGGCAAGGAGGAAGAGGAUGGCGUAGACGUAGCGGGCUAUGAAGGGGUUGGGCCCGAGACAGAAGUGAGUGCAGCACGAGUUCUCCAUGAACCGAGUAUCCCUCUCCCUGCUGCUUAUGCCGGGGUCCUCCAUUGCUUCGUUCGUCAUGACACGAACGUGUUCGGAUUUUCUCUCCUCCGGGGAGCGGUGCAACUAGCCAACUUGCUGCAAGAAAACCCAAGCUUGGUAUAUAACGAGAGGAAGAGAAGCAACGCAACAUAAGCUUAGCAUACAAGAAAAGGAGACGUUGGGCACGUCACGCUAGAUUCAGAAUUUGGGAACAUCUCCUGGCCGUAGAGAGGAGAAAUCGGAUGGGGUUGCAAAACGUGCCAGGAGCCAGAGCCCGGCUGGCCCGAUACACGAAUCCAAAAUUUUUCAGCUGGACCAACCCAAAAUAUCUCCAAGAUUAUAAUUAGGGUCAAAAUUUUAAAGGAUAAGCCUACUCAGAAUCGUGUUCCUGAUUUGCUGCUUUCAGGUAAAUGGUGCGACCGCUGAGCUAUUGAUGUCGAACACGAGUCAUGGCAUUUCCAUUACUAAGUUGUGGGACGAACCCACUUAAUAAAUAAGAAUUAUUACACCAUUAGCGUCUCAACCUGGUCAUUACUAAUUUUUGCCCCAUUCUAUCUUCUUUUACUAUUAACAAGAUAAACUGCCUUUGUACACGGUCCCGCGAGGUGGUUUCCAUACCUCUUAGGCUCUUACUUGAGGGAGCUAAAUAUUGAGUGGAUUUAUGAAACAGGAUCAAUACCACCUUUCGCAGCAUAUGCUUUCCCACACCUGCAUCGUAUGUAUGUGCGAGGCACCUAUAUAUUAUGCAAGAGAACGCCACCAACAUGUUAUCAACUUCUAUAUAUGGUAUAUCAAUAACUUCUAUAUAUGAAAUACCUGCUCCACUAAAUUCCAAUGCAACGAAUGUAUAGGUGUCUAUCGCUGUCUGAUGCUUGGUCUUGGUCUCGACGGCGACCAACCCGGCCUAAACGCACGGACUGUUAGUUGCUGUUGCCUGUCACUUUCUUUUCCUAUUCUCGUUUNNNNNNNNNNNNNNNNNNNNNNNNNNNNNNNNNNNNNNNNNNNNNNNNNNNNNNNNNNNNNNNNNNNNNNNNNNNNNNNNNNNNNNNNNNNNNNNNNNNNNNNNNNNNNNNNNNNNNNNNNNNNNNNNNNNNNNNNNNNNNNNNNNNNNNNNNNNNNNNNNNNNNNNNNNNNNNNNNNNNNNNNNNNNNNNNNNNNNNNNNNNNNNNNNNNNNNNNNNNNNNNNNNNNNNNNNNNNNNNNNNNNNNNNNNNNNNNNNNNNNNNNNNNNNNNNNNNNNNNNNNNNNNNNNNNNNNNNNNNNNNNNNNNNNNNNNNNNNNNNNNNNNNNNNNNNNNNNNNNNNNNNNNNNNNNNNNNNNNNNNNNNNNNNNNNNNNNNNNNNNNNNNNNNNNNNNNNNNNNNNNNNNNNNNNNNNNNNNNNNNNNNNNNNNNNNNNNNNNNNNNNNNNNNNNNNNNNNNNNNNNNNNNNNNNNNNNNNNNNNNNNNNNNNNNNNNNNNNNNNNNNNNNNNNNNNNNNNNNNNNNNNNNNNNNNNNNNNNNNNNNNNNNNNNNNNNNNNNNNNNNNNNNNNNNNNNNNNNNNNNNNNNNNNNNNNNNNNNNNNNNNNNNNNNNNNNNNNNNNNNNNNNNNNNNNNNNNNNNNNNNNNNNNNNNNNNNNNNNNNNNNNNNNNNNNNNNNNNNNNNNNNNNNNNNNNNNNNNNNNNNNNNNNNNNNNNNNNNNNNNNNNNNNNNNNNNNNNNNNNNNNNNNNNNNNNNNNNNNNNNNNNNNNNNNNNNNNNNNNNNNNNNNNNNNNNNNNNNNNNNNNNNNNNNNNNNNNNNNNNNNNNNNNNNNNNNNNNNNNNNNNNNNNNNNNNNNNNNNNNNNNNNNNNNNNNNNNNNNNNNNNNNNNNNNNNNNNNNNNNNNNNNNNNNNNNNNNNNNNNNNNNNNNNNNNNNNNNNNNNNNNNNNNNNNNNNNNNNNNNNNNNNNNNNNNNNNNNNNNNNNNNNNNNNNNNNNNNNNNNNNNNNNNNNNNNNNNNNNNNNNNNNNNNNNNNNNNNNNNNNNNNNNNNNNNNNNNNNNNNNNNNNNNNNNNNNNNNNNNNNNNNNNNNNNNNNNNNNNNNNNNNNNNNNNNNNNNNNNNNNNNNNNNNNNNNNNNNNNNNNNNNNNNNNNNNNNNNNNNNNNNNNNNNNNNNNNNNNNNNNNNNNNNNNNNNNNNNNNNNNNNNNNNNNNNNNNNNNNNNNNNNNNNNNNNNNNNNNNNNNNNNNNNNNNNNNNNNNNNNNNNNNNNNNNNNNNNNNNNNNNNNNNNNNNNNNNNNNNNNNNNNNNNNNNNNNNNNNNNNNNNNNNNNNNNNNNNNNNNNNNNNNNNNNNNNNNNNNNNNNNNNNNNNNNNNNNNNNNNNNNNNNNNNNNNNNNNNNNNNNNNNNNNNNNNNNNNNNNNNNNNNNNNNNNNNNNNNNNNNNNNNNNNNNNNNNNNNNNNNNNNNNNNNNNNNNNNNNNNNNNNNNNNNNNNNNNNNNNNNNNNNNNNNNNNNNNNNNNNNNNNNNNNNNNNNNNNNNNNNNNNNNNNNNNNNNNNNNNNNNNNNNNNNNNNNNNNNNNNNNNNNNNNNNNNNNNNNNNNNNNNNNNNNNNNNNNNNNNNNNNNNNNNNNNNNNNNNNNNNNNNNNNNNNNNNNNNNNNNNNNNNNNNNNNNNNNNNNNNNNNNNNNNNNNNNNNNNNNNNNNNNNNNNNNNNNNNNNNNUAAAUUGACAUUUUAGAUCUCCAUUACAAUAAUUGAUUUGCUGGCAUAAAAUUAGCAAUCAAGUAUUCUAAUAAGAUAAUCAAUCUUAUAAUUCAUUGAAUUGACAUUUUAGAUCUGAAUUACAAUAAUUGAUUUACUGGCACAAAAUUAGUAAUCAAUUAUUCUAAUAAGAUAAUAUCUUAUAAUUAAUUGAAUUGUUAUUUUAAAUCUCAAUUACAAUAAUUGAUUUGCUGGCACAAAAUUAGUAAUCAAUUAUUCUAAUAAGGCAAUAAAUCAAUUCUAAUAUAUAAUUUUUGAAUUGAUAUAUUAGAUUUCAAUUAUAAUAAUUGUCUAGCUAACAUUAAAUUAAUAAUUAAUUAUUACUAAUUCGAAAAAUUCAAAUAAAAAUUUAAAAAUUGGUUAAUCCAUAAUAACAUAUUUAAGUUUGCACUUCGACUUUUUUAAAAAUUAAAUUUGUAUGAUUUCUAGUGAUUAUAUCCACUAACUAAUAGUGCCAAAGAAAAGCUUGUCAAAAAAGCAUACGUGCUUAAGAAAGGCUGGUACUUAAGUGAGCCUAGUGUUCCACCACUGAUCUGGAGCUGAUAUGGCUAUUAUUUUUUGGAUAUAUCAACUAGACAUUCAAAAUUUAAUACAAAUUUUAGUGUAAUCUUUUAACAUAAACUUUUUUUUUACCUUCAAUCAGGUUUUUGUCCCUUCUUUAUAACUUGAACCUAUAGCCUCUAAUACUAGUGAUCAACUUAGUGCCAAACAUGAAAAAUUUGAUGGCUAUAACUUUAGGAGGUGGCAGAACCAAAUGUAGUUCUGGCUCACCACAUUAGGGUUGAUCUCAGCCAUAGGUGAGAGCACUAUUGAAGUUGAUAAUGGGUCCAACCUAACUACUUCACGACCUGUUACUCGUCAAAACUCAAAUCCAAAUCGGAGUUCAUCCUCCUCCCAAACUGAAUCUUCUGCCUCCACCAGCACACCCUAUAGGACACCUAUUGAGAUAGACUAUCAUUGCAUACAUAGAAUCCUAGGUGCCCUUUCUGAAAAGUUGUAUGAUAUUUAUUACACAACCAAGAGUGCCAAAGAACUCUGGGACACCCUAGAUAGCAAAUAUAGUCUUGAUGAUGCUGGGGUAAAGAGGUUCAAGGCCUCUGACUUCAAUAACUUUAGAAUGGUGGACUCAAUGCCUAUGAAUGAUCAAAUCCAUGAUUUUGAAAUCCUGAUCCACCAGCUUAGGGCUAAUAGGACCAAUUUGGAUGAAUAAUUUCAGGUAGCCUAUCUGAUAGAUAAACUACCUAAUUUCUGGUCUGAUUUUACUAAGACUCUGAGCCAUACCCAAGCAGGUCUCAUCAUAACCCAAAUUUUGAACUCCAUUAGAAUUGAAGAGCAACAUAGGCUCAGGAGUAAAACCUCUACCGGCCACAAGAAUGAUGUUUAUAAUGUAGAGGCCCCACUUAAGAAAAAUCAAAACCGACCCUUCAAAAAUAAACAUUACAAAAAGGAACCCUACCACCCUACAAACCCUAACCACCACAAUGGAAAACCUAUCCAAUCCCAAGAGCAGAAGAAGAAGAAAGAGAAAGGUAGUGUUCGUUUCUGUUAUGUGUGUGGUCGGACCAAUCAUUUGUCUCUCCAGUGCUUCUAUAAGAAGAUUGCACCUUUUCAAUCCAAGAAGAAGGGUCUACACACAACCAGUGCUCAAGUCAACAUGGUUACUUCCGGCGUUGGCUCCUCUGAGACAGAUUUCAGGUCUGUUUUUUUCACUCUUGAAGUUAAUAUAACUUUACAAGCACUUGAUUGGUUGAUUAAUACUGGAGCUGGUAUUCAUAUUUGUUGUGAUCGCUCUUGAUUUUCUUCUUACCAGGUUUCAAGCGAAGGAGUUGUGAUCAUGGCAAACAGUUCCGAGGCGCCUGUGCUAGAAGUGGGACGUGUAGACUUAAAGCUUACCUCUGAAAAAGUUCUGUCCCUGCACGGCGUCCAAUAUGUUCUAGUUGUUAGGAAAAACCUCAUUAGUGGUUUCUUACUUGUCCAGUAAGGCUUUCGUCUUAUUUUUGAGUCCAAUAAAGUUACAAUUUCCUAUGGUUUAAUGUUUAUUGGAAAAGGAUUCCUAAGUAAAUGAUUGUUUAAGUUGAAUGUAAUAGUUCCUUCAAUAAAUAAAAUUUUUUUGAUCAUGAAUAUAGAACCUCCUUCUAUUUGGCCUGGUAGAUUAGGUCAUGUAAAUUAUAAUACAAUUAAGCAACUAAUAAACUUAAAUUUAAUACCAAAAAGUGAUUUUAAGAAUCAUAAAAAAUGUAAAAUCUGUGUAGAAGCCAAACUCCCUAGAAAGCCUUUUAAAUUUGUUAAUAGGGAUUUAGAUCUAUUAGAGUUGAUUCAUAGUGAUAUUUGUGACUCUAGUAGAACUUCUAGGAAAGGUAACAGAUACUUUGUGAACUUCAUUAAUGAUCUAUCCAAGUUCUGUUACAUCUACAAAAUUAAAACCAAGGAUGAGGUGCUCAGCAAUUUAAGAUUUAUAAGAUCGAAGCUGAGAACCAAUAGAAAAAGAAAAUUAAAAUUCUUAGAUCAAAUCGGGGAGGUGAAUAUAUAUCUAAUGAUAUAACUCAAUUUUGUGAAGAUUAUGGAAUCAUUCAUGAAGUGACUGCUCUCUAUUCUCCCCAAUCAAAUGGAGUAACAGAAAGAAAGAAUAGGACUUUAAUAGAUAUGGUUAACUCAAUGCUUAUAAGCUUAGGAGUACUAGAGAAUUUGUGGGGGAAAGCUCCAGUUUCAGCCUGUUAUAUCCUCAAUAGGAUUCCCUUUAAAAAUAAUAAUCUAACCCUAUAUGAAGUUUGGAAACAUAAAAAACCUAAUCUUAGCUAUUUGAAAGUGUGGGGGUGCUUGGCAAAAGUGAAAUUACCUGAUUUAAGAGAAAGAAAAUAGGGCCUAAAACAGUGGAUGCCAUAUUCAUAGGAUAUGCAGCCAAUAGUAAUGCAAAUAGAUUUCUGGUGAUUAAUUCAGAAGAAAGUGAUAUUAAUAACAAUACUAUCAUAGAAGCUAGAGAUGCAACAUAUUUUGAAAACACCUUUCCACUUAGGGCUAGAAUAGAUAGUGGUAUAGCUAGUAGCUCUAAUAGAAUAAGGACAAGUGAAAUAGAAGUAGAAGCAUAACCUAGGAGAAGUAAAAAAUACAGGGUAGAGAAAACAUUUGGAGAUGACUUCUAUACCUUUUUUUAUAGAGGACUCUUUAAUUACUUUUGAGGAUGCAGUGAAAUCCUUGGAUUCACCUUUUUGGAGAGAAGCUGUAGACAAUGAGAUGCAGUCAAUUAUCCAAAAUCAUACUUGGGAACUGAUUGAUCUUCCUUCUGGCUGUAAAACUAUAAGGUGCAAAUGGAUCUUUAAGAAAAAACUUAGGCCUGAUGGGUCUGUAAAUAAAUUUAACGCUAGAGUAGUUACCAAGGGUUUUACUCAGAGACCUAGGGUAGAUUUCUUUAAUGUUUAUGCACAUGUAGUUAGGAUUACUAUUAUCAGGGUCCUGAUUACAUUAGCCUCCAUCCAUAGAUUAGUGAUUCAUCAGAUGGAUGUGAAAACAGCUUUUCUAAAUGGAGACUUAAAUGAAAAAAUUUAUAUGGACUAGCCAGAGGGAUUUAUAAUUUCAAGCCAAGAAAAUAAAGUUUGUAGAUUAUUCAGAUCUAUCUAUGGUCUUAAACAAGUACCCAAGCAAUGGCACUUGAAAUUUGAUGAAAUCAUAUUGACAUUUGGAUUUGAAAUCAAUAGUACAGACGAAUGUGUAUAGCAUAAGAGAGUUGGAAAUAAACUUAUAAUCUUGUGCCUAUGUAGAUGAUAUACUGAUCUUUGGGAUAGAUCUUCAAAUAGUUGAUGAAGUAAAGCAAUUCUUAAGUUAUAAGUUUGAUAUGAAAGACUUGGAAUAAGCUGACUUAAUUUUAAAUACCAAAAUAAUUAGAAGUGCAAAUAGUAUUGAGUUAUCCUAAAGUCAUUAUGUUGAUAAGAUUCUCAAUAAAUUUAAUUAUACCGAUUGUCGGACUGUCUCUACUCUUUUUGAUCCCUCUACACACCUUAAGAAGAACUUAGGAACUGCUAUCCUUCAAGGCCUAUAUGCUCAAAUUAUACGCUCACUAGGAUUCCUAGCAAACUACACCAUGCUAGACAUGGCAUAUGCUGUGAAUAGACUUAGCAGAUAUACUGUUAAUCCAAAUAGAGAUCACUAGACAGCAUUCGAGAGAAUCCUUAGGUAUCUUAAGGGUACCAAGUCCUAUAGUUUGUACUUUAGUAGGUUUCCUACUGUUCUAGAAUGCUAUAGUGAUGCCAACUGAAUCAGCGAUACCUUAGAUGUUAAAUCCACCACAGGAUAUGUUUUUCUUCUAAGAGAUGCUGCUGUGUCUUAGAAAUCCACCAAACAAAUCUUGAUAUCUAGGAGUACCAUAGAGUCUAAACUGAUAGCUUUAGAUGCCACUAGCACUGAGGCUGAGUAGCUCAGAUAUCUACUAAUAGACCUUCCUAUAGAUGAGUCACAUUUACCACCUGCCUCCUUACAUUAUGACUGUAAAUCUGCAAUAGAUAAGUACAACCAAAAAAAUGCCAAUGUAAAAAUGAACAUGCACUUAAAAGUGCGUCAUAAAUUAUUAAGAUAUAAAUUAAAAAAUAACGUUAUUGCUUUAAAUUGUGUAAAAUUAGAAAAUAAUUUGGCUGAUCAGCUUACAAAAGGUUUGUCUAGAACAGUAAUUCUAGAGUUGUCGAGGGGGAUGGGGCUUAGCCCAUAAAGAUAGAUCACCACGGUGGAAACCAAACCUUAAAAGGUUCAAUGGGUAGAAACAAACCGGAAUGUGACUAAGAGGAGCACUGUUUGAUGUUUUCCUCAUUCCUGUGACGUUAGUGCUCAUAAAAGCAAGCGGUAGGAUGAGUUUGUUUAUAUAACUCUUAAUGAGUCCGAGACCCAAAAGACAGGAGCUUCCUUGCAACUUCCUUAUUAGGACUAAUUUAUAUGUGCAGUCGUAAGGCCGCGAUUAUGAAAAAUGGGUGAUUCCCUAGAAAGCACAUAAAAGAUACCUACGCAUGGCCAUAUUAGUGUAACCCGCUUAGAACCCAGAUCAGGCUAUAUUAUGUGUGUUGUGGAUUUAUUCUGAGUCAUGGACCGAGGUUCAAUGUUAAGACUACCUUGGCUCCACAGAUGUAAUCAAUUGUUACUAAGUGAAGGUUUAAACCGAAAGGUACCUACACCUAUUGCAUAAUAUAAGAUAUCCAGCAUUUUAUUUUGAUUUUAAAAUUAUUUAAAUUUUUGUGGAGGAUUAUUGGUAAAAUUUAAAUGCGCACGCGGCCCGAGAUUCAGCCGCAUGCGCAUUUGAAUUUCGCGAAACGCCUGUUGUGGCAUUCGCAAAAUCACUGUAGGCGCGUCCGCGGAAGGCACAGAUGCGUCCGCAAAAAGACCAAAAGGCCCCUCUAAACACCUCUAUACAUAUUCCUUGAUUUCAUCCUAUUCGGGACACGAAAAAUUAGAAAAAAAUAUCAAAAAAUUCUGAAAAAAAGUUCUUCCUCUUAGCCACUUCUGAUUUUUAUUUUUACAAUUAUAUUCAAUUUAUUUUAUUCUUUUUAUUUCGUUCUUCACUAGAUCUGCAAGUUCGAUCGGAUUCGAUUUGACUUCUUCCGAGACGUACCAAAGAAGAAGUUUAGGAUCGUCGUAUCUCUGAGGAGGAUUACCGGAAUACCCAUACGUGGAGGCAAACACUUUUUUGGACCCGAUGGUUUCUUUUUCUUUGGAUAGCCGGGAGACCCCUUGACCCCACAGUUCUCACUUGCCUAACUUCAAGCAAUCACGACAUCAUAUUGUCUUUUUUGACGCCAUCAUGACCGUCCGAUUUGAUGGAUCAUAUCGUCAUCAGAUGCUCCCUCGUCCCUCGAAAGCCAUGCUCAGCAAUCCGCAACCUCUUACGUAAACUGCGACCAGUUCCCAAUUACAUACGUCCCAAAGAACGGAAAGACGAAGAGGAUCGAGAAACCUGAGACCGCAACAAUAAGCGACGUGGCGGUUGUCGCGGUCACGCACGACGUUAUGUGGCUGGCCGACCUCAAUAAAGUAGGUGAGUCGUCUCUCGGCCCUGUCCCGGCCCUGUUGGGUAUCUGGUGAACUGAGUGAAACUUCAUUCCAAGGGACCCUCUGUUCAGAGCCAGACCCCAAACGAGGGGGCCGGGUCUGGGUUAAGCUAAUUAGGUUCUGAGACUCAAAGAUUUAUAAAGAUUCCAGAGAGUUGGUCGAAAAGAAGGUUAAGACCAAGGCUUUGCAUGUGAUGGGACGUUAAACAUAAAUCAAAGUGAAUUAAAAAGAAAAGCUGGCACAACAUAUUCAUCGUAUGAUCUCUUCUUUGGAUUAUUUUUCUGUGCAACAUGUUUAUAGGAAAGCAAACCAAACUACCAAUUGGCUUGAGGGUUUGAUUUGGUUCACUCCUUAAUUUGCGGCUAGGUUCUUCUAUUCGUGGGGAGCCAUCUUCGCUGUUGAACAUGGAUGCUGGUUUUUGUUCACUUUGUUUUUAAUGUUUAGGUUUUAUUGUUCUUUUCUUCCUUCUCUUUGUACACAAGAAAAGAAAAAAAAGAAAAGAAAAGAAAAGAAAAAACUGGCACCAAAGUUUAUUUUGCGAAGUCCUAAGACUUAUUUUAGAAUUGUUUGCUCUGUAAUCAUUGGCGGUAGCAAUGUUCAAUAGGAUAUACAUGAAUGAUUUUACAUUAGAUAUUUUUUUGAUUGUCUUUGAAUUCCAAAAGAGAUGUAUUAAUAUAAUUUAGAUCAACAAUUGGCAAUCCUUCUAUAAUUAGCCAUAAAGUGCAAAACAUUAUAGAUAACUAAAAUUUAUCAAAAAAGAACUUAGCACAUGAAGAAAUAUUAAUAACUAAGAUGACUGCAUAUAGGAAUGGCAUCUAUGUUAUAACUGGUAAUGAUGAAUGAUCUUUUAACAUAUUUAUGCAUAAGCAGUGUCUUGAAGCAUUUCCCAUUUGCCAGCUUUGUAAACAUAAGUAGCCAACGUGCCUAAUAGAAAGCAGAUAAAGUUUAAAUUCCAAUAUUUACUUCAGGACAUUUUUAAAUGGUUGCUGUACUUCUCGCAAAACCCUACUAAUAGGUGCCUGUAUAAUAAGCUUAUGGACCCUUUUUCUUUUUGAUAAACCGCAAUAGGCUACAUAACCUAACUUGUUCUCAUAUUCCUUAUAAAGGCUAGAUUUGAUGUCAAGUUGCUUGAUCUGUCUACAAAAAACCUACCCACUUAAUAAACCAGCAUAAGCCAUGCACUUAAAAAGUGGGCAUAUAAUUGACUGCAUACUGCAUGGAUAUACAUACCUUGAAAGAAAGCACCUAGUCAAUUGGGCUUCUUUUUUUUUACAUGCAUGCCAAUAAGCAUGAUAGUAUUUUGAUCCCCAUCUUCCAACCAGCUCCUGUUCUCGACCAGUUAGUUAGUGUUGUUUGAAGUCACAAGUUCAUGUCCUGUCAAGAUGCUGCCGGAUUUUAAGCUUUCCACAGAUGCUUACAUCAGGCCUCAAAACAACCAUAUGCUUACAUGCAAUGCCCAGGAAUACAGGUGCUUCAAGAUCUGCUAAUCAUUUAGGCUCCUUGUUCAGGCCUCUCCCAAGAAUAAAAAUGCCUUCAGGCUUUACAUGUUUCCAGGGUUUCAGGUUCUCUCAGGCAACAGAUUCCAUCUACUAGUUGCCCUACAAGCGGGGCCUGGUGCCAACCUAAGCCGUGGGCAUGUCAUGACAUGUUUCAGAAAUUUUCAUACAAGUCAAUGCCAACCCAGCCUUGCAUGCGUUUGAGACUAAAGUCACCCCUCAGGAAAACAGUUAUAUAUUUAGUCCCUGCACACAUGUUGUUGACAUAAAAAAUAGGCUUGCAUUUUUGAUGCACUGGCAUGAACAGCAUCAAUUCCCUCUCCACGAUCCCCACCUAAAAAGGGGGAGAAAAAGAAAAACAUAAACAUGAAUCAAACCUGCAUCACCGUCUUAAUAUUUAACUGUGCCUCUAUUUUAAUUUGAAGUAGGCACAAAAGUACAAUUAAAAAGAUUAAAAACCAUACAAAACAGAACAGCCUAAUGGUUUUUACAUGGAGAGAGAGUUAUCAAGUUAUGGAAACCAAGACCACCGAAGGUUUAAGAAACAUCCCUUGGUUUUUACAUGUCAUACUAGAAGGUGAAAACCAACCUUCAGUAAGAUCAACUCAGUCACCAAAUGUUUAAAAAUGGAAGUCCUGACAAACAAAUAAACAUAAUCCUCUUUGGGCUCAUCCAGCCAUGUCAUAAUCUAACUACACUACAAGACACAGCCAUAAAAAUCAGAUACAGCAGCCUUUUUCUUGGUCUCAUCCACUUCCAAGGUUUACCAAGGAAGUGCAGACUCUGCAGUUUUGCCCCUGAACUUUACUUCUACAAAACCAGGUAUGAUAAUUUAACUAUAGUUAGAAUAACAAUCACAGAUCAGACAAAAGCAUCAACCUGCUAGAUGUGCAAGCUGGUGAGUAUUAUAGAUCACUGCAACAAGGUGCAAGCUCAGUCCCAAAGUAGACCAUCACUUCUUUCAACACGUUGAAUUUUUAUAAUUAAAAAAAAUAAGAAGAACUACAUAUUUAGACAAUGGAAUUUCAACAUAAUAAGCACUCUGACUUCUGCAUUUACUAAAUUCUGUAGUUGUAAUCAUCCAAAUGGUUGAAUAUUUCAUCCUUCUGAAUUUUCUGAUCCGGAUUACUAAAAUAAUGGAACAAAUCUUCAUAGUAUUUCAUCUAUGAUAGCUUAACAAGUAAAACUCUCCACCUUUUCUUGGAGUAAAGCUCUGAUAACAACAAGGUCGAAUUCAACAUAGAACCAAAUCACAUUUACAAUCAUCAAUUGAUCACAUUUACAAACGAAUACAAGGCUAUGACCAUUUAAGGAACUAGAAAUGAAAAAAAAGGGCAAAAAAAAUGAUUAAUCAGCAUGUAUCAAUUGCCUAUUCAACAUCCUACUCUCUUGUUUCAAGGAUACUAAUGCAUACGAAAAACUCAAUUCAUCAUCAUCACUAUCGAAGCUUUUUUUCAAUAAAUCGCGCUCUGAUUAUCAAGGUAACACAGCAUAAAAGGAUUGAGAAGAAGAUAAUGUCUCGAGCCGUCCUAAUGCCAACUCUCUAAGUAUUGAUAUCAAUUUCCAGCCAAGAUGACCAUGAACUAAACUAAAACCUAGAGACUAAGUUCUCAGUUAAAGAGGCCUACACUAAUAAUGAUAAUUUAAGGUCAGCAACCAAGAAUAAAAGCCAUGGAAUUCCACCAAACUUUGAAAAAGCCUGGAAGAAGAUGACAAGGUUUAAUUUCAGGAACUGUAUUCAUCCGUGACGUAAAAAAACGACUGACAAAGAAUCAAACUGAAACACAAUCCAAUAUUAAAAAUGCAUGGAACUAAAAUUAAAUUACGUUAAUCUACCCUUUUAAAACCCGAUUCACUCUAAGGACCACUUCAAAAUUACAAAACCAGAUUGACCAGGAUAUGCCAUUAUAUUUGGAUUUGGAUGGUUUUAAAUCAAUCGAGGCAUAUGAGUAUGCCAGCAAAUACAGCAAUUUAUAGUAUUGCUUCCUCAGCAGAUACCCAUUUAGCAUUUAAAAUGAAACAAGUCCAAAAAAUGUUUCUUUAGCAUAAGCAUAUGCUUCCUUGUGGGAACUAAAGCAAGAACCACUUAUCCUGCUGAGUUAUUCAUCCCAGGCAUCAUACACUAAUUCCAAGGGUUAACAACCCAAGCAUGAUUAAGGGUAAAGAAGUAUAAUUCCUAAUUUUGCAUAUGGAUGCAGUUUAUCAGAAGAACCAUACCUGGUGUUACUUUUGGUAGAAAUUGAAAUUUAAAAUGGCAGAUAUUAUGAGCUUAUGGCAAGAUAAAAAGUCGAUGAUAAUGCAACUACACAACAACAGGAACCAUGACUUGAGGUCCUCUUCUAGAAUUACAUAAAAAGAUGAACCAUUCUGUCAAAGACUGUACUUUAACUAAACAAGUUUUGGCCCUACAUUUUAAAGCUUGAUCACAUAAUGGGACAUCUUAACCAAGACAUAACAAAAUUCAAGAAGGAAAUUCCAGGAAAUUAGCUUUUUUGAAGAGGCAUCUAUCAUUUCACUCAUCAGAUGCCUUGGGGGAAUUCUCAGGUGUCUUCAGUACAGGGGUCUUGUUUCCUUUGUGUGCUGUGACCACUCCUCGAAACUCUUCCACAAUACUACUGUCCUUGAAUUUCAGAGCAAAUGUGGUGAGUGCAUUCUUUCCUUCUCCAACACUAUUGACACAAGCAAAAGUUAUGCCUCUUUUAUCCAUAUUAGUAAGCGACAUAUCUGGGUAAAGGCUUGCAUUCAGGAUAAGUCUGUAGUUCCCCCUAGCCCUCAUAAUAAGCCUUGCCUUUUCACCAUCAGCAAUAGAGAUGUUCACUUUAAGCUCUCCCUUUCCCCUUUCCUUCCACCCUCCAUCUAAAUACUCAUAUAAUAUAGCAUCACCAGUGAACAGUGCCUUCUCAUUCUCUUCACCUGUUUCAACAGGCACCUCCUGCAUGGAAAGUCUGCCGCUUUUAGAAGCAUCUGGUGCAGUACCAGGCAAUGAUGAGGAAGAACUCCCAUUGUUUGUAAGCCCAAAGAGAGAUCCAGAACUUGCACCAAAUGCAGAUCCUGUUUUAGCAAUUGAACCAAAAGAAAAUGAAGAGUUCGAAAAGCCAGUUCCUGCAAGCCCUGUAAAUGCAUUUUGGCUACUAGACAACUGUUGAAAUGAGCUAAAAGAUCCAGCUGGCAUAGUUGCAUCUUUAUGGUCAUUUUCCUGCUUUUCUUUCUCAGUCUCAUCUCCAACCGCCUUAUCCAUUUCACUUCCAGCUUUCUUCUCAGUUUCUUCCCCAUCUUCCUCACCUGCUACUUCUCGGGAUUCCCUUUUGGCUUCUUUUCCUCCAUUUUGCACUUCCUUACCCAUUUCCAGUGGCUGAUUGACCUCUUCCACUGUAUCAGUUUUGACCUUUUCAUCACUCUUAGCUGCUGACAUAUCAGUAAUGUCUUCUGCUGACUUCCUGUGAUUCUCUCCUGUUUCAUCACUCUUAGCUGCCGACACUUCAUUAAUGUCUUCUGCUGACUUCCUGUUAUUCUCUGCUGUCCCCUCUAUUUCAUUCACUGCAGCUCCACUUUCAGUUUCCUUAUCUUCAUCACCAGAUUUUUCAAUCUUUUCAUUAUUACUGUUUUGAUCUUCUGAGACUGUUGUAUCAGCACCCAUUUGAGGCUGAUCGGCAGGGCUAGUUGUUUGUGCACCAGAACUGGUUGGAGGAACCAAGCGAAUAACAGCAAAAGGAUUGGAACCAGCAGAUGAUGCAGGUUGAUGGCGCCGGACCUUGACAAUUUUUCUGGUUGCCAUCACUUCCUCGGUGGCUCUUUGAAAAGUCCCCAUCUCUGGCUCAGGAGCAUCAUCAUCUGGAUCAGGAUCAUCCUUAGAGAGCUGUCUACCAGCUACUCUCUUCUUGGAUGAAGGAAGGGCACUUUCUGCAUCCCCCAUUUAGGUAAAGUUGAUGUUGACAAUAACUAGCCAAAAGAAAUGUGAAUGCUUAUGGUAGCGAUAGUAGAAGAUAUCUCCUGCAAUAUACAGACCAUCAUAAAUCGCCUCCUCUGAUAUAAAUGCAAAAUUAAAGUAUUAAACAAACCAAGAAGAAAACUAUCAAAAUCCAAGUUUUCCAUUUUUUCCCUUUCAAAGGGCAUAAAGCAAUUGACACAAGAAGAAAAGAAAAGGCAAGCGCUUGUGCAUCAAAAUGAACUGAUAUAAUGGUUAAAGAACUAUACAGCUAGGUGUAAGUUUCCAUAAAGGAAAAAGGACUGGUAGCAGUUUCAUCAACAUUUUUGUGUUUGUCCUUUUAUUUUGAUGAACGAUAAUAGAAACUGGAUUUCAAGCAAGUACAAAGACAGAAGAAACUAUUAUUCAGAAAAUAGCAAUCAAAGAGUAAGACAAUUUCCAUAAAGGACUAAUAAAGACAGGAAAAACAUAAAUCUUCCAAUAAAGCAAAAUAUGGUAUGAAACUAGAAAUAAAUUCAAUACAUGCAAUAUGGGCAUGUAUAACAAAGGGUAAGCUUAAUACAGCAAGAUACACUAUCUCUAGACACUGGAAAGAUAAUAAAAACAGAUGCAUCUAAUAUUAAGCGGUGUAAAAUUGAUGGCAACGCAACAGAAUAAAAGAUUGAUAGAAAGAAGGACGACCUUUUGACUGGUCAAUCCCUGUGAUUUCUACUAGUAGUAGCAUACCCGAUAUCUAGCAGACUAUGAGCCUUAACUUAUUCAUGGAACUGUAGCAACAACUUGAUCCCCAGACAUAAAUUUCACAUUUUCACAGCAAUAAAUUUAAGUAGCUAGAAAUGACUCUUACUGGAAAUCACUAUAUCUAAAAGGAGCACUCCAAAAAAGCACAAAUAAUUGAAACUAGCAUCUGUUUCCUUGACUAAGCUACUUCUAUGGACAAGACCAGCAGUUCCAAUAGCUACUAGUCCGAGAUACUGUCUUCACCUCAGAAAUCGGUCCAACUGCAGGAAGAAGAGUUGGCCUUCACCAACCAAUAUAAGCACUAGAACUCACAGUCCGUACAGCCACAAUGAUUUAUCUCAUAUAGCUUCAUUGAAGCAGAAUCCCACCAGCCAUACAGAGACUAUAUACUGCACCAAAUGCAAACUCAUAACCUAACAGGCAAUACAAAUACUAAUAAGUCUCUGGUCGGAAGCUAGAAAUGACGCUCGUGAAGAACAAGCAGACUCUGUAAUUCAGCCGGAUGGAAUAAAUAUAAAACUGCAUGUAUCAUAACCUACAACAGGCGACUUUCAUCCUUUGCAGCCAAUCAGGGUGUGCAAUGGAAGGAUCACGUACAGCUUGGAUUGCCACUUGGCCUAUUUCUGGCACAUGAUCAAUUUUCAUAGGAAAAACUGCUAUCCGGAUUUACAAAUUAUAGCUACAGUGCCAUGAACAACAUAUUUGCUUUCUGCCUUUUAAAGAACUGACAGCUAGAAAAAACAAUCAGAAAAUAUGGAUGUUACAUCUCAAGAAUCACAAAAGAAGGAAUACUCAACUCCGUAUGUCACAACAAUUAAUAAGCCAAAAAUUAAGUAACUAUGCAAGAUAUAAGCCACCCGUACUUGGGGAACCCAAAUUUUAAAACAUCUAGCAAAGCAAAACACGUGACACGCAUGAGUAGGGUAUGAUAAGCAUGAGGAAAUGCGGAUAUAUAUAUUGACAUUUCACAAACUAAUAAAGAAGCAGCAGGUCUUUCUUGAACAACAAAGUUUCUAUUAAGGCUGUUUUUAUAUCACAUGAAUUUCCAUCUAUUCUUCUUGAAGACAAUGAGUACAUAUAUUUGAUGAAUAAAUAAAGGCAAUCACUGUUUAUUGCUAGAAAACAUAUUUCUAUAGACAGAGAGAGAGAGAGAGAGAGAGAGAGAGAGAGAGAGAGUAGAACUAAACUNNNNNNNNNNNNNNNNNNNNGAGAGAGAGAGAGAGAGUAGACUCUAAAAAUGCAGGAACAACCGAUUGCAAGAGAGUAAGCAUGAUACAACAUGAGAAAGCCCCUUUAUUUCAAGAGCUUAAAUAAUGCAUUCAGGGAAAAGGAGAGGUCAAUGGCAUUAUUACAUAGCUUGCAAGCUUGUUGGUAUACAAAUUGUAGCUAUAACCCUAAAGUACCUUGCUAAAUGAAGACCUACAUAGUAUUUGAAUUACAGAAACCCAGUACUUCGCAAUGCAAUAGUUUUUGUUAUGAUGUAAUACAAUGAACUCUCUAUGUCCAAAUUCCUCAUAUUAGUUUCCUAAUUGAAACCUAAAUAAACAUAUGCAUACAACAGAUCAAAGCACAUGAACAACGCAAAUUAUUUUUCAAUUCAAGAAAAAAAAUAAAAGCAUGUGGGAUAGCAAUGAAAUAUGGGAAAGUAAGGGCAAAGAAGAAAAAACAUAAGGAGUUACAGUGACCAACCAAAAAAGUUCUACAUGGAUAAAUGAUUAGCUGCAUAUGCUAAUUAAGAUAUAAUUGAGUCACUUCAAUUUUUUUGUUUUUUUUGAGAAACAAGGUAAUUAGAUUCACGUCUUCAUGCCAUGUUGACCGGUAGAUGUGCAUUGCAUAAGGCAUAAAAUCAGAUUCCAAGAUAAUACAGCACCAUGUAUCUGGAAAAGAAAUAGUAUUUUGAUGGAAAUGCUAGACGGACUCAAAAGAACAAUACAGAAUGAAGUGGUACAUAUAUCAAAAUAGCAUCACUCAACAUGGCGGAAGUUACCCAAUACGCAAAACGUUAACUAAUUAUGUCCAUUGAAACUUAGAGCAUUCACGGAUGACGAACAGAAAAUUUAGAUCAAGAAAUGACCAGACCAUGAUCUUUUCUCAUCAUAUCUGACACAUAGAAGAAAAGCCAUCUGAGGAUGAACAAGAAAAUUCGAAAUGAACGAUUAUUUAAAAAAAACUUUUCUAAUAAAACUAGGAAACUAUUUUGCUUCUUGACUGCCUGACCUAUCAAUCAAGAUAGGGAUUCACCCCAAAUAAGUCGUUUCCCGUACUGCAAGCUGAAAACAUAGCAUAUUUUAUUAUAAUAGCAUCAAGAAGUAAAUAUAUCUCAAAUAAAGAAAGUGAUGCGAACGAUUAGGGUUUCCAAAACUUGAUGGUUUCUACUCAAUUCUUGAGCUCACUGGCAACAAAUCAAGAAACAGGUUUGCGCAGAUCAUCCAGAAAUGAGAAAACAUAAGUCGAUUCUCUGCGGUUGAGGAAUCUUUGACAGCCAAUGAGAUCGCUACAAGAAAUUGCAGAACAAACUACCAAAAAAAAAGAUAAAAAAAAUCCAAGUUUUAUCGGGGAAAAAAUUGAAGGGGCGAAAGACGAACGGAAAGACUUGCCUCGAAUCUAUGGAGACGGAGACAGGAGGGAGAAAUCUUCGAAAGCACAGAGGCGUAUGUUUAUGAUUUUGUCUUUCCUCUUCCUUCCACCCUCCGCAGCUGAGAGAGGGAGCGAUGAAGAGAAGAAAAAAAAUCCGGGCGUUGAAGCGACGGGGAUUGAUGCUGCGGAUCCUUCUUAUAUAUAUUGGCGAAUUUAAAACCCCUAUUUUUAUUUAUUAAAAAGAUUAAAGAAAUGGGGAGUGGGGACCGAAUAAUCUCCAUCUUGCCCUAUCCCAGGCGUAGCUUAUCUCGGCCGUUCCAGUUUCAUGCCGUUUAAAUAGAGACGUCAGAUUAUUAGUUGCCUCCGAUGAGAUCAAGAUGUUCCCGUUUUGCAUAAAUUCGUACUAAAAUGAUAUAAAUAGUCUGUCUUGGCCCCCAAAAAAAAUAUCUCUAUCUUAAAAAUAAAAUAAAAAAUUCUGUUAUUUUAUUUUUUAUUUAUGAAGUUUAAAUUUAUUAUUUGUUUGCAUGAAAAUGGAAGAGCAAGCGUAGAAAAACUAGUAUCUCAAUAGAGAGAAGCAAAUGUUAUCAUGUUAUGGAAAAACCAACCUUCCAUAUUUGUCCCAAAAAGAUCGAGUGCACCAAAGACUAGGUGAUAAUGUUGUUAUAUUUGUAUAGCCACCAAAAGCCUAUACAAUACAUCUCUUGCAAGUUCAAUUGCAUGAAAUGAUUGUCAAUGGUUGAGCAAUUUGGGUUGCUAAAGUGGUUUAAGUAUUCAAUAUCCACGAUAAAGUGGAUAGGAUUAUAUGCAACAUUUAAUGAAAUUAUUAUAUAUUAAACACUAAUCAUGGCUAAUGAGUUUAGAUACUUAGAUGGAAGUGUUAAAAUGAUUCAUUUUGAGAGGAGAACCAUAACUUUUUUUCCACCACCACCUCCUCUUCCUCAUCAUCGUCAUCAUUAUUAUUCAAGUUCAAGUACCUGAGAUACACAAUCCAAAACUUAAAUUCUGGAUAUUUAGUUGAUAGGUGGAUGGCCAUGAUGUUAGCAAGUCCCAAUUCACCUCCUUCUGUUCAAGUCCAAGUACUCAGAAUGCACCAUCCAAGACUUCGAAUUUAGAAUCUUAUGUUGGUAGACAAUGAUGUAUCACCAUUAGGGCAAGUCCUAGUUCACCUCCUCCUAGCUUAAAAAUGCUCCAAAUACACCACCCCACUAGAUCAUAAGGUCUAGAUUGUUUUCUUGAAAAUGAUAAUGGUAAUUUUCCUGAGAAGUGGCAUUGUUUGGGUUCUAAAAACUAACUCAUAUUUUUCAUCACCUAACAAAAAGAUAUCGUGUAUGUUUCAAAAUUCAAUAACUACCUUAAUUAUUGUAAUUGAAUCAUAAUUAUACUAACAAAAUCAGUUUUCAUUUUGACUACUCAGAAUCUUCCACUUUGUGCAUCUAGAUAAUAUUUCUGUUACUAAUUUAAAUAGCAUUUUAAUUAUGAAAGAAUGUGCCAAAAAUAUGCCUAGUUCUAAAUGUGCAUCUUGAAAAGUAUGAACUUUGAGUCUUGCACAUCCAUGUGCCUGAAUGAUUUUUGGUACAUAUCAUAACAGAAUUGAGCUUACAUAAAUGAUCGAUAUAAUCAUUAGAUCUAGUCCUAUAUAUUUGAGCUUAUCAUUAUAAAUGCUCAUUUGUCAGAUGUCUAUAUUAAAGGCCAUCCAUGAUAUUUUUCAAACUGACACUCUAAUAUCCAUAAGUGUUAAGUUGGAUCUCUUUUAUAUUUUUACUUAUUUCAGUUAAUCUAAUGUCAAUUUUCAACCUUUCUUAACCAAAAUUGGGAUCAGCUUCGAUGAUACUAACACAUGAGAUGAUGAUCUAUGCAACCAAAUUGGGAUCCCAAUCUUAACCUAUCACUUAGGAAAUCACUAGUAUUGGUGCCUUCUUUUUAGUUGACAUUGCAGCAAAUUGAUGUAUGGCGUAGUUUAUAUUAGCAGUCAUACAUUAAAGUAGCCUGUGCUGUUAAAUUACACUCAUUCUAUCUAGACCACCAAGACAGGCAUUUGUAACCUGCUUUCCCCUUCAUUCCAUUUACAUUUUCAAACAUAUGCCGAUUUGCUCAUCCGCCUACCAUAAAAUGAGUGGAUCCUUUUGCCAGAGAAUAUAUUCCUACAUCAUUGCACCUCAUCUUCCAUGAUCUAGAUUUAUUAGGAAGAUCAACUCUCAUAAAAUGAGAAUUAUUGCCGAUUCCUAUGGCGACGCACCAAGAUGCGUGUUUGAUAAAUAGAGAUUAUAAAAACCAAUGGCUCUGAUUGGUUGCAUGCAUGGCCACAUGGUGCAUGGAGUAUAGGUAAUAAUUUCUCCAAGACUGAAAUGGUGAGCCAGACCAUAAAUUGCUUUUAGCAACAAGUAAUCAACAUGCAUCGUCGUCAUCCGAUUCAUCCAACCAUCAUUACUAAAACAAGAUAAACGAAAGCCAUUGGCACUAGAUCACGCUCGAUUGGAGUGUUAUCUCUCCUUAUUGCUAAGCUAUUCAAGAGCAAAAGAGUGAUGGUUUGGUGACUUUGGGAAAUUCAGUCAAGAUUUUGACCGGAGACCAAGAUUUCCAAGCCUCACACCAUUUUAAAGAAGUUGUGCCCAGUUGAGCCCUGAUCGUCUGCAUGCGCAUGUAAACAAGAAAAUGGCAUUCAAACAGUACUUCUCGACCAUCAGAUCGAGAUCAAAUUACUUACAAAUCUCAAAGGAGUCUUUGAAUCUCCAUGCAAUAUCCAAUCCGACGGCCACUAUCAAUGAGGAGAAGGUCUCAUAUCACUUCUCACUCUUGAAUUGGUUCACUGAUUCCAUGAAAGAAGUGAACUAGUUUGCCUUCGACGGACCCAAAACUUGUCAAAGACCGCACUAAAAGCCAAUAUCUUAAAUCUCAGUAUAAAAUACUCACUGCCAAACAUCUCCCACUCCAUGUAACUGUAAAGCAAGCAAAGUUUAAGCUACAUGCCCUUUUCUUUUUCUUAAGCAUUGAUAUUUCUCAAUGGCGGAUGAUGCGAGGAUUUCUUGUCAUUAAUCCAAGAUGAUUCUAUUAUUCUAAAACAUAGACAAAGCUGUUUUAAGCCUAUACCAGGCAGCCACUAAUUCAGCCAUAGAAACAGACGCGGUCGUGAUUGGCAUAGAUGUAGGACAUAAUACUCGGCCCAUUGGAUUUCGAGUAACAAAUCCGACGCCUGCAGAAUGCGGCCAAACAGAAGUAUCGAAAUUCACUUUGAGAUAGCCUGGUUGGGGUGCUUCCAGGAAACAGUAAUCUGUGAAGAAAUAUCCGCAAACUCCUAAAGUAUAUGGCAGCCCCAGAUGCUAGAAUCUUUAAGCUUAGUAGCAAAUGAAUGCAUCUUAUAUUCUUCAAGAAGAUCAGAGGCUGUUCGGUCUCUCUAGGCUCCACUAUUAAAUGAGCACUGUUACAACGAGCGCCCUUCUAGGGUCAGAUUGGGACUCAAAUAUAUCCAGGCCUUGGCUCUAACAUUAGUCGGGAAGAUUGGAGGCACGGAAAAAUCCAAGUGGGGCUCAAAUCUGCAGCUGGGGCCCAGAUGAAUUAGACUGGCCCAAAUUCUUUCAAUUUAGCCUGGGCUUGGACCAAGCAUCGUUGGGUCGACUUCAUAUGGGCCUAGAUUGAGGAUAAAAGGUCGAAACGAAUUUGAGAAACCUUGUUUGACGGUGACAAUGGACCUGAACUCCUCCAAAUGCCGAUCGUGUGAAGCCUUUGGCUCUGAAUAACCUCAAGCAUAAACUCUGCUCCAGUGAUUUGAUUGCGUGUUAGAACUCAAUAGCAGGCUUUCGACCUCAUUAUAAUUUUCCAUUUGGUGCUGAGGGAAGAUUUAGAAUAUGUACAUGCAUGAUUACGUUGGUGAUCGCUAUCCAACAGCUCCAUAUUUGAGCACACUUUUUUUUUUCUUCUGUUUGGUAAACGAGGAGCAUACUUUUUGUUUAACUUGAAAAUAAUGAAAGAACAUAUACAUACAUACAUGUAUGUGUGUGUGUAUUCAAAAAACAAAACCUCAGGAUUGCCUGUGCCCUGGAACCUAUUUGGAAGAUAACAAGCAAAUUUACGGUAGUAGAAGCCAAAAACCUAGGGUCUGUUUGGCAUUGCCGCUAUUUUCAAGUUUUUGUUUCUCUAUAAAAUACUGAAAUACUAUGGGGAGAUUGAUGUGAAAAACAAGCGAGCACCAGACUUCCACUAUUCCUUCUUUUUUUUUUUAUCUCCACUUGUUUUUGAAAGCAAUGAAUCUUUGCUUUCAAAGCCUCUAAAAAUUUUCAAAACCAUUUGAAAAAUAAAAAGAAUUUCGCCAUACAGGGUUCGGUCUAAUAUAUUUUUCUUCCUAAAUUUUCGAAAACAACUUCUUAAAAUGGAAGCAAUACCAAAUGGCCCUUAUUUUUCUAAUUUAUAAAACUAUUUUCGGAUUGUGCCUUUUCAGAAUUAUUUUCAAAUAAUAUCAUUAAGAAUUUAUUUUUUAGAAAUAAUUUAUUCAAUAUUAAAGGCCAUGAAUUGUUUUUUUUUUUCAAUGAAACGCCAAACAAACCCUUACUUGCAAUUCUUAGGUAACCACAGACCAUGACUGGCACACAAUUCCACCUACUCAGCAAGCUAAGGGCCCACCUAGUUUUUCAAUUGGAAACCAAAUUAGAAGGAUGAACACAGAACAGAGGAAAACAAAUUCAUACAAAUCUAUCAAGUUGAAGUUUCGUAAGACCGACUAAAUUUGGCAUAAUUAAUUAAUCAAUGAAUUCUAACACAAUAGACAUUGAAGGCAAACCUAAAUUGGUACCCGAAAAAGGCAAAUCUAAUCUUAAUCCACUCCCUUUUUGCCAAACCCUUCAUCAACAGUCUUACUGCCUUUAAAUUUUCAUAUUGUCAGAAAAAUUUAAAUCUAAAUGUCAGUCGAUUCCAUGCCCCAUGAGGAACCGGGUAUGUGCGGUGGUCGCUCGUGAUCUGAAUCUACUGCGUGGCUUUGCCUUGUAAAAGUGGGGUGGUUAUUUGAUGCUUUGUACCAGACUGCACGGGGUUUGCCCCAACCCUGUGAGCCACAUCGAAUGCCAUCGUUCACAAGGCUAUUACCUUUGUUUUUACACCAUAGUUUGGCCUCGUAGCAUGAUUAAGUGGUACUCUCCUAUUCAAUUUGCAAACAAAUUCGGCAAGUCACAGCUAAAGCUAAAAUCCCAAGCCAACGCACAUCUAAUUCAGACUACCCAAUUUAGUUGCACAUUUAAGAAAUCCAAUUGGCGAGACACCCAGAAGAUGGUGACCCUUAAUUAGCUGGCCUCCAAAUACCCGUGAGUGGAACGCAACAAAGGAGCGAUAGCAGCAAAGACCCAUGAUUCUUAUCAAAAACAUCACCAACGUUUCUUUAGUGCUCCCCUCAACCCCCCAUUACUUUUUAAUAUUCUUCUAAUUAUUAAAUGGUAGAAAGAGAGACACGGUUGCAGCAUGUGCUCGGCUAGCGAUGAAGGAGCGAAACGUUCAAAAGUCAUGGGGCCCACGAGAACAUGCGCCGAGUGGUGGAGCUGGGACGGCAUUGAAAAGUGGACGAAGGCCAACCAUCGGCAACAGUCCUCUCGCAAUAUGGGAGCUCUCUGUAAGCUAGCGCAUUUCAUAAACAUAAGAGUCCACAGAGAGAGAGAGAGAGGGGUAAGGACUGGGCUCGUAUCUGUCGCAAGAAAGAAGGGGAAUCUGGGUAGUAUCUUUUGCAAGAAAGAAGGAUUCCCCUUGCAAAUCCACUAUUGGAUUAUGCAAUGAUCAUUUCGAGAUCUAUGCAGACAGAUGCAUAAAUAAGUUCAGAAUGCUUUAAAAUAUGUAUAGAUUUUGAUCCAGAUCAAUUAUUCUUUUAUGCAUCUGAAACCUAUUUAUUUUGGUUGCUUCUUCAUUCUGAUCUCGCAUUUCUAUUCUCCAUCUAGCUCGGCAAAUUUCAUUGGAUGUUUCUUUUUGUCACCUUUUUCUUUCACCACGCAUCUUCAUCCAACAAGGAUGGUACCAUAACCAACAGGUUGAACUUGUUUUUUGAGGCCUCAAGGAGAUAUCUAAGAUCAAACUAGCAUUGAUGAGAUCUCGAUGUUAUUCGAGUAUAUAUUACUUAGUUGUAUACCAUGAACUAGACUAUGUAGUGCUUCAAUUUGAUGUGUUCAUUGACAACACAAGGUGUAUAUUCGAAAGACAAUGAGUGUCUAUCAAUUAACUAUUAAAUAUGUAUCCAUGCCAAAGAGGUUCAUUUGUGUAUUACCUGUACAUAUACCAUAUAUUAGUAAGAUAACGAUCCAAACGAAGUAUUACCUCACUUUUUAAAUGAGGUAGUGUGCAUCAAUCAACUAUUGGGUAUGUACAUCUACAUACCAAAAAGUUUGUAUUAAAGUAUGUUGAUGCUCCAGCCGGGUUCCACAAAGUUAUUAGAUUUCGGAUGAUGAAAGCCUUUAACAUCAACAAGAUGCGGUGGAUGAAAAUAAUCAAAGGAUAGAAAAGAGGGAUGCUACCAACACUAGAAUGCUUGCAGUUGAAGAGAGGGCAAGAAAGGAGAGAUUAUUUCCUACACUACACAGCCAUGGAUGACACCAAUCACAGCCAUUUAUUUAUAUAAGUCAACACAUUAAAUAGACAUCUUAAUGUAUCGCUAUAAAAAUGAGUGGUUGUGAUUGAUGGCAUGCACGGCAGCAUGAUGCAUGCAAUGCAAGAAAUAAUUUCUCAUAAGGAGAGCCUAGAGAGAAUUCAAAACGGAAAGAUAAAUAAGAUACUCUUCUUUUUACACUUUUUUUCGAAUUUUUGAUUCAGUCCCGCUAACUGGGAUACCUGCAGACCAGGCGAAGAGAGUAGUUGGGGCUCUAAAUCCCUACGACAGGACACCUCAAAUGAUAUCCUCUGAUGACCUCACGAGAGAUUUUGUGCGACGAACCAUGCCCUUAAAAUCAAUAGGUAAAGAUGGUUAAUUCCAAGCAACGAUAGGAAAAGAUUUGAAAGAUAAAACUGAAUGAUGGGAUUGCGAACGGAAGCACGAUCCGGUAUGACAGCUAAUCUCGAUGGCUAACAGCGAGCAAGGAAUGAAUCCCAGUAUCCUAACCCACAUGCUCCUCCUGAGAGGCUGAGACCGCUAAUUACCGACCCAGGUCUGAAAACAAAUCAGAGGCAUCACCGGAGAUCACGGCGUAAAAGCGGGGGCCGAGGAGGACUUGGAAUCUAGAACAGCAACCUAUGCGGCCAUGCCUAAUAGAAGUGAACCCACUGACCUUUUUGUUCCAAUUAGAUUAAUAAAUUCAUCAAGCAAGUUGUUAUGGGCAGAGAUACAUAAAACACAAAGUAGCAAACAGAUACAGAAUAACAGAGCAAUGGCAGAGCAAAUAACAGCAGGAAAAUUCAAACAUAAGAGUUAACAAAAAGCAACCUAUCUCGUUGUAUAAGAAGAAAAAUCAAGCAGCUGUAUACAGAAUAAUAAGGCAAAUCAAAGCAGAGCAAGGGAAGAUAAAGAGGAGAUUGGAUGAUAGCAAAGACAGAGCUUGAAGAAUUCGUAAGUAAUGAUCAACAUAUAUAAAUGAAGAACAAAGUAUAAUAAAAGGCGACAAUACCACAAUUUGAUCUACUUGUUCUUGAAUCCCAUACUCUCUAUACAUUCAUUAUCCCUGCAUCUAUUCUCAUGUUCUCUUACUCUGUCUCUCUCAACCAUUUAUUCACAACCCAAAUUAAUUUUGAGAGAUUCCCCAAACUCCCCUGUUCCUCCCUUUUCCAUGUUCUCUCCAUCUAUUCUUCAUCACCAUGAUGAAUGCUUCGUCUUACGUGACUUGUCGCCUUUUUCUUUUCCUUCAAUUGGAGGGUAGUACACACCAAAGGGAGCGAGAGGAACCAAGACAAUGGAGAAUUCAAUGGACCACAAGCAUGACAAGAAUCCAAAAUGAAUGAAAUACUUUCUUGCUUCUCUAUUAAUGGAGGGUAAGAGGAGAGUGAGGUGGACAAUUCUCAAAAGAAUUAAUAGAACGGAGGAGGCGGUGGCGAUGCGUAUGAGAUUCCAAUAACAGGCGGCAAUGGGCCUUGGUAUAGAGGGGAGGGUGCUGGGGAAGAAGGUGGUGGUGGUGGCGGCGGAGUUUCACAGGGUUUGGGGGGCGGUGGAGAUGAAGGCAUAGGUGGGGGCGGUGACUGAUACUGGUAAGGCGGCGAAGGUGGCGGAGAGGGGGGUGGUGGUGAUGCAUAAUGGUAAGGCGGCGAAGGUGGUGGAGGUGAAGGUGAUGGCGGAGGCUUAUAGUGGACUGGUGGUGGUGGAGAUGGUGACGGCGGCGGUGGUGAGGGAGGUGGCGGCAUGUAAUAUACCGGUGGUGGCGGUGGAGGUUCUAUGCACGGAGGUGGUGAUGGUGGCGGUGGAGGUUCUAUGCAUGGAGGUGGUGAUGGUGGCGGUGGAGGCUCAAUACACGGAGGUGGAGGAGGAGGUGAAUUAGGUGGUGGAGGCGGCGAGUACAGUGGAGGUGGGGGAGGUGAUGGAUAGUGAUAUGUAGGUGGUGGCGGUGAAUUAGGUGGCGGAGGUGGUGAAUGAGGUGGUGGAGGCGGCGAAGGUUGAGGUGGUGGUGGUGAUGGGUAAGGAGGCGGCGGAGAAUAAUGUGGGCUGGGUGGUGGGGGAGGCGGAAAAUAGACCGGAGGCGGCGGCGAGUUGGGCGGCGGAGGUGGUGGAGACCGAACACAGUAGACGGGCGGAG
rnacentral:lncRNA from 1 species